GCCACCGCCGGGACAUACGUCACCGACACGCUGACCUUGUCGCCCACCAUCGCGGUCAAGGGCUUCCGGUUCGGGUGCAGCCACGCCGUGAGGGGCACCUUCAGUGACCAGACCGCCGGCGUCCUGGCCCUCGGCGGUGGCGCUGGGUCCCUCCUUGCGCAGACCGCGGAGACCUUCGGCAACGCCUUCUCCUACUGCGUCCCGCACCCGAGCUCCGAUGGAUUCCUCUCGCUGGGCGGGCCGGUGGGGAACUCGUCGCAGUUCACGAGCACGCCUCUGAUCAAGAACCAACACGCUCCGACGUUCUACAUCGUCCGCCUGGAGGCAAUCACCGUGGCCGGGAGGCGGCUCGACGUGCCGCCGGCUACGUUCGCCGGUGGUGCGGUGAUGGACUCAGGGGCGGUCGUCACGCAGCUGCCACCGUCGGCAUACGCAGCGCUGCGGGCAGCGUUCAGGAGCGCCAUGACGGCGUAUGGCCCGCUUGCGGAUCCCGUACGCAACCUUGACACGUGCUAUGACUUGACCCGCUUCCCCGAGGUCAAUGUCCCCAAGGUGUCCCUAGUGUUCGCAGGCGGUGCCACCUUGGAGCUCGAGCCGGCGUCCAUCAUGCUGGACGGCUGCCUGGCUUUCACGGCCUCCCCUGGCGGCCACGGCUCCAUCGGAUUCAUCGGCAACGUGCAGCAGCAGACCUACGAGGUUUUGUACGACGUCGGCAGCGGGAGCGUGGGAUUCCGCAGUGGCGCGUGCUGAUGUGGCAAGCUGCAGGCCAACCACGGCCACUUGUACGUGUGAUGCAUGAUUGGCCCCCUAAUAUAUAUCUGGGUCUACAAGCUAGCUUGCUCAUUGGGAUGGAGCUAGUUUGUGAGUAUAAAUAAAUGCAAGAAAGAAGAUUGAUGUAAUACUUAUAUAUGCAUGUAAUUUUAUAUAGUUUUAUAUAUGCAUGUAAUUUUGUUCAACGGUUGUAUGAUUGUAAACCUUAUAAUAUAACCUUACAGAUUGUCAAGGAAUUCAACCGAUAUAAUUACUCUACUUAUUGAUGUGCAAUAAUGUAAUAUGACUAUUAAGAAGCAUUCUGAUUGUGGAGGUGGUUUCGCACUUUUUACUACAACAAAGGUGUUUGAAGGAUUCCUCGGCAGAAACUAGAACGCACUCCUUCAAUAAUUGACGAGCUAAUUGGUUGUUGAACUUCAGACAAAGAUUGUUGGGCAUGAAAGCGGUCACCAGCGGGUUGAUUGGCCUCACCAGCUCAUACGUGUUCAUGAGGCGUGGUUUUUUUCUUUUCUUGAUUAAUAGUAUUUGUUUCUGGAUGCUUGCAUUGUUAGAUUUGGAAGCGUUCCUACUCCUCGAUGAGGAGCCGGGUUGGUUUAUAUUGAACGAGGCAGAACAGCCCUGCCGUGGCUUACAAGAAGAGGAAACUGAUCGCAAGGAUUGGGUUGUAAGGAGGACUCCUAAACAGCUACGCGAGGGAGAGAGAUAGAAUAGAGUUGAGAUUACAAUGCGGAGAUAAACAUGAAUUCUAACACCCUCCCUUAAUCUCAACUAUUCUAUGUUUAGAUUCCUCUUGAACUCAUCAAAUGGUUUUGCUGGUAGUGCCUUGGUGAACCCAUCAGCCACUUGAUCUUUGGAAGGGAUGAACCGUAUCUCAAGUUUCUUUGCUGCAACCCUUUCAGGCACAAAGUGAAAAUCAAUCUCUAUAUGCUUGGUUCUUGCAUGAAACACUGGGUUUGCAGACAAGUAUGUUGGUCCCAAAUUAUCACACCAUAAACAUGAGAUGCGAUUCUGCUUGACCCCCAUUUCAUCCAGUAGUGAUUCAAUCCAAAUGAUUUCUGCAGUGGCAUUAGCUAAGGAUUUAUACUCAGCCUCUGUAUUUGAACUUGAUACAGUGGCUUGUUUCCUACCACUUUAAGAAACAAGAUUAGGCCCAAAGAACACUGCAAAGCCUCCGGUUGAUUUUCUAUCAUCACUGCAACCUGCCCAAUCAGCAUCAGAGAAUGCACUCACAAGAGUAGAAUUAGAGCGUCUAAAAUGCAGUCCUACUCCCAUAGUAUGUUUGACAUAUCUUACAGUUCUCUUAAUAGCUGUCCAAUGUGCAGUAGUGGAUGCAUGCAGAUAUUGACAAACUUUGUUAACAGCAAAUGAGAUAUCUGGGCGAGUAAGAGUCAAGUACUGUAAUGCUCCAACAGUACUUCUAUACUUUGUGCUAUCUUCCUCAUAAAGUGGCUCACCUUCAUAUGCUGAAAGUUUCUCCGAGGAGGACAAUGUGUAGGUACAGGUUUGCAGUUUUUCAUCCCCAUACGAGAUAGAAGCUUGGUAACAUAUUUCUCUUGUUUUAGUACCAUGCCAUCUUGAGUCAUCUUAACUUCAAUGCCUAGAAAGAAGUGCAAAUGUAACAUCCCAAAAUUCUAAAUUUUGGAAUGUUAUAUUAAAUAAUUAAUUAUGAUUGUUUGUUUGUUGUGUGAUUGAUUGUGUGAAAAUGAUUGGAAAUUGAAAACUUUUUGAAAGUUGAAUGAGAGGGAAUAAAAGGACUUUCUCGAAACUUUUCAUCUUGCAUUUUGAUCUUCCUGAAUUCAAAUUCAUUUCAUCACAAAACCCUAGAGUGAAGAUAUUAUGACUUCUUCCAUUUAAAGAAAUUAAAAAAGGGGUUUGAAAAUGAUUUGAAUUCCAUUUGAAACAUUUCGAAUUUAGAAACUUUAAGAGCAUCUCCAGCCGUUCGCCCCCCAGGACGCAUAAAAAUCGCCCCCAGGGGGCGAGCCGGCGAUAUAAUCGGCGCUGGGAGCGGUUUCGCGCCCAGUCGUCGCCCCCAGGCGUCGAUAUUGGCCCACUUAUCCCAUUUCGGCGAAUAAAGGGCCCAUAUGGGCGACAAUAGGCCCAUAUUCCGCGUGGUUUGCCGUUGUUCGGCGUUCAGUUGUCACACCCUAGCUAGUCAUGCAUUAGAGUGUUGCAUCAUGUUUACUCUUUCAUCAGAAACUUGAAAUGGGGAUGACAGAACCCCCAGUCCCCUCUGAAACCAACUAGGGUUACUAAAAUAAUUUUUCAAUGAACCUGAAAUGCCCUUCUAAAAUGCCCAUCAUUUUUGCCUUGGUUCAGAACCUUUGCCAAAAGUGGUGCACAUUUUCCUAGGCCAUCCUAGGGUUUUUGAAUUAAGUCAUAAGUAUUUGAAUUUGGGCAUUUAAAAUUAUAUAAAAUAUUUAAAUGCUCAAAUAUCUCCAAACUAAAAUGUUUCAUGUUGGAAAUAAUCCAACUAUGGACCAGGAGUAGUUUGGUGAUUUUUGGAGUUGCCUAGGUAUUUUAUUUAAUUCAACAAAGUUGCAGAUAUAUUAAAUAAAAACAGAAAACAGAAAAAUAAAUAAAAGGAGUAGACUUACCUGGACCUACCUGCCCAGCCCAGCCGGCCCAGCACUGUGCUGGCCCGUGCCAGCCAGCUGCUUCCCCUUGCCAGAGCAGGCAGGGAGGUGAGCAUGGCGCGCCCGAGCUCGCCACGCACCACCCAGCCUCUCUGCAUCGCCCUGGUCGCCGUUGCGCCGCGUGGAUCGUCUUCUGGUCGUCGCCCCGACCUCGCCGACACCCCAUUCAUUCUCCCCCGGCUCUCCCUCGCUCUCUCCCCCGCCCGACCGAACACCACCGUCGCCGCCGUUCGCCAUAGCCACCGUCUCCGACCACCCCUCGCUCCCCCGACCAGCUCAGAAGCUCCGCCACAACUCCCUCUUCCUCCCCACCGCUCCACAGCUCCCCGGAAGCCCUGCAUUGCCGCCACGUCGCCGUUCCCCUCUUCGGGCUCCGACCACCGCCGCCGUCGAAUUCGCCGUCUCCAGCGCGUCCCCGAGCCCGCUUCGACGCCCACUGCAACCGCGGUGAGCUACGCCACCGUUUCCCCCUCUCCUUCCCCUCGUUCCCUCACCGUAGCUUCCUCCCCACCACGGCCGAACCUCCGCCGUCGCCGAGCUCGCCGUCGACGCAGCUCCGGUGACCAUUUGGUCACCCCGGCGAGUCCAACGGGUUCACAGAACCCCGUAGAGCAUCCCUAGCGCCUCGCCUUGCUCGACUUCGAGCUCCAGCACCGUUCCCGGACUGCUCAACUCACCCAUCCUUCGGGAAAGAUAGUCAAUGUCUUGACCCGAAUAGCCAAGCGACAAUUAUACUCUCUUAACGCCAGCCCCUUGCCAGACCUUGAGGACGUGCCGGUAGUCUGUGACUUCCCGGAUGUCUUUCCAGAAGAAUUGCCAGGUGUUCCACCUGACAGGGAUGUUGAGUUCGUAAUAGACCUCAUCCCCGGAACCGUUCCGAUUGCUAGAAGACCUUAUAAGAUGGCACCCCUAGAACUAGCCGAGCUUAAGAAACAACUCGAUGAAUCCUUGAAAAAGGGUUUCAUCCGCCCUAGUUCAUCUCCGUGGGCUUGCCCCGUCCUAUUCGUCAAGAAGAAGGAUGGUACGGACCGAAUGGUUGUAGAUUACCGACCUGUCAACUUGGUCACAAUCAAGAACAAAUACCCGCUUCCCAGGAUCAACGAUCUGUAUGAUCAGCUCGCUGGAUCCUCAGUCUUCUCCAAGAUGGAUUUGAGGUUGGGAUACCAUCAAAUCAAAAUCAGAAACGGGGACAUUCCUAAAACGGCCUUUGUUACUCGUUAUGGCCAAUACGAGUACACCGUCAUGUCCUUCGGUUUAACCAACGCUCCAGCCACCUUUUCUCGGUUAAUGAACUCAAUCUUCAUGGAGUAUUUGGACAAAUUCGUCAUAGUUUAUCUCGAUGAUAUACUCAUCUACUCCAAGAACGAGGAAGAACAUGCCGAACAUUUAAGGCUAGUGUUGAAGAAACUUCGAGAGCAUCGCCUUUAUGCCAAAUUUUCUAAAUGUGAAUUCUGGUUAUCAGAAGUGACCUAUCUGGGUCAUGUAAUAUCUGGUAAAGGUAUUGCUGUUAACCCUGAGCGAGUUCAAGCCGUCCUUGAUUGGACUCCACCCGAAUCGGUCAAGCAAGUUCGGAGUUUUCUAGGCUUAGCGAGCUAUUGUCGUCGCUUUGUCGAGAACUUCUCCAAAGUUGCUAAACCUCUAACCGAACUCCUCAAGAAAGAUAAGAAGUUCGAAUGGACUCCACAAUGUGAGCACAGCUUUCAGGAACUGAAAAGACGCCUGACUUCUGCUCCCGUGCUGGUACCGCCAGACUUCUCCAAGGACUUCGUUAUCUACUGCGACACCUCGCGACAAGGACUAGGUUGCAUUCUCAUGCAAGAUCGACACGUAAUUGCUUACGCUUCACGGCAAUUGCACCCACAUGAGGAGAAUUAUCCUACUCAUGAUCUAGAGCUUGCAGCCGUAGUCUAUGCACUUAAGACCUGGCGACAUUACCUCCUCGGUAAUCGUUGCGAAAUAUUCACUGAUCACCAAAGUCUGAAGUAUAUUUUCACCCAACCGGAUUUGAAUCUCAGGCAGAGAUGUUGGGUUGAAUUGAUCACAGACUUCGACUUAGGAAUAACCUACACCCCAGGGAAAGCCAACGUCAUGGCUGAUGCGCUAAGUCGUAAAUCUUAUUGUAACAACCUGAUGUUACAACAAAGUCAACCGCUUCUCCAUGAGGAAUUUCGGAAGCUUAACCUUCACAUUGUACCUCAAGGUUUUCUUUCCACCUUGGUGGCAAAACCUACCCUUACGGAUCAAAUUAUCAAAGCACAGAAGGUAGAUCCGGGAAUCUCCCGCAUCAAGAGAAACAUUCAGAAAGGAAUUGCGAAUUGCUUCUCCAUUAAUGAUCAAGGGGUCGUAUACUUCGGGGAUCGACUAGUGGUUCCCAAAGUGCGAAACCUGAGGCGAUUGAUCCUUAAGGAAGCUCAUGAAUCUCCUCUCACCAUUCAUCCCGGUAGUACUAAGAUGUAUCAGGACCUACGCCAGAGGUUCUGGUGGACUAGGAUGAAGAGAGAAAUUGCUCAGUAUAUUGCUAAUUGCGACGUCUGUCAUCGUGUAAAAGCAGAGCAUCAACGGCCUGCUGGCACCCUUCAACCCUUAGCUAUUCCUGAAUGGAAAUGGGAUAAAAUUGGUAUGGAUUUCAUUACCGGGUUUCCCAGGACCAAGAGAGGGAAUAAUGCUAUUUUCGUCGUGGUCGAUCGUCUCUCCGAAGUAGCUCAUUUCUUACCUGUUCGUGAGAGUAUAACCGCUAGUCAGCUGGCAGAUUUGUACAUCUCCCGAAUAGUGUCUCUACAUGGUGUUCCUUUGGAAAUUAACUCGGAUCGAGGAAGUCUUUUCACCUCUCGAUUUUGGGAAAGUUUCCAAAAUGCUAUGGGAACUCGUCUCUUCUUUAGCACCGCUUUCCACCCUCAGUCGAGUGGUCAAGUGGAACGCGUCAACCAAAUUCUAGAAGACAUGCUUCGAGCCUCUGUUAUCUCUUUCGGAAUGGACUGGGAGAAGUGCCUUCCAUUUGCCGAAUUCGCUUACAACAACAGCUAUCAAUCUAGCUUGGGUAAAGCCCCUUUUGAAGUUCUCUAUGGACGACGAUGUCGAACACCCCUUAACUGAUCAGAGACCGGGGAAAGACAAUUCUUUGGCCCGGAUAUGAUUCAGGAAGCAGAAGAACAAGUUCGUAUCGUUCGUGAAAAGUUGAAAACAGCCCAAUCUCGUCAAAAGAGUCAAUAUGACCGAAAACAUAAGGCUAUGACUUUCGAGGUUGACGAGAAGGCUUAUCUUCGGGUCACCCCUCUGAAGGGAACCCAUCGUUUCGGUAUCAAAGGCAAAUUGGCUCCUCGUUACAUUGGACCUUUUCGCAUUCUUGCCAAACGAGGAGAAGUUGCCUACCAGUUGGAACUACCUCCGCACCUCUCCAGAGUUCACGAUGUCUUCCACGUUUCUCAACUCAGGCGUUGCUUCUCGGAUCCUAUCCGUGAAGUGGACCACGAAACGCUUGAUCUCCAAGAUGAUCUUACAUAUCGAGAGUACCCCAUUCGUAUCCUCGAUCAAGCCGAACGUACCACGCGACGUCAUAAUAUCAAGUUUCUCAAGGUUCAAUGGUUGCACCAUUCUGAGGAUGAAGCAACUUGGGAAAGGGAGGAUCGUCUUCGACUCGAGUAUCCCGCCUUCUUCUCGGAGAAACCCAAAUCUCGGGACGAGAUUCUUUUGAGUGGGGGUGAGUUGUCACACCCUAGCUAGUCAUGCAUUAGAGUGUUGCAUCAUGUUUACUCUUUCAUCAGAAACUUGAAAUGGGGAUGACAGAACCCCCAGUCCCCUCUGAAACCAACUAGGGUUUACUAAAAUAAUUUUCAAUGAACCUGAAAUGCCCUUCUAAAAUGCCCAUCAUUUUUGCCUUGGUUCAGAACCUCUGUCAAAAGUGGUGCACAUUUUCCUAGGCCAUCCUAGGGUUUUUGAAUUAAGUCAUAAGUAUUUGAAUUUGGGCAUUUAAAAUUAUAUAAAAUAUUUAAAUGCUCAAAUAUCUCCAAACUAAAAUGUUUCAUGUUGGAAAUAAUCCAACUAUGGACCAGGAGUAGUUUGGUGAUUUUUGGAGUUGCCUAGGUAUUUUAUUUAAUUCAACAAAGUUGCAGAUAUAUUAAAUAAAAACAGAAAACAGAAAAAUAAAUAAAAGGAGUAGACUUACCUGGACCUACCUGCCCAGCCCAGCCGGCCCAGCACUGUGCUGGCCCGUGCCAGCCAGCUGCUUCCCCUUGCCAGAGCAGGCAGGGAGGUGAGCAUGGCGCGCCCGAGCUCGCCACGCACCACCCAGCCUCUCUGCAUCGCCCUGGUCGCCGUUGCGCCGCGUGGAUCAUCUUCUGGUCGUCGCCCCGACCUCGCCGACACCCCAUUCACUCUCCCCCGGCUCUCCCUCGCUCUCUCCCCCGCCCGACCGAACACCACCGUCGCCGCCGUUCGCCAUAGCCACCGUCUCCGACCACCCCUCGCUCCCCCGACCAGUUCAGAAGCUCCGCCACAACUCCCUCUUCCUCCCCACCGCUCCACAGCUCCCCGGAAGCCCUGCAUCGCCGCCACGUCGCCGUUCCCCUCUUCGGGCUCCGACCACCGCCCCCGUCGAAUUCGCCGUCUCCAGCGCGUCCCCGAGCCCGCUUCGACGCCCACUGCAACCGCGGUGAGCUACGCCACCGUUUCCCCCUCUCCUUCCCCUCGUUCCCUCACCGUAGCUUCCUCCCCACCACGGCCGAACCUCCGCCGUCGCCGAGCUCGCCGUCGACGCAGCUCCGGUGACCAUUUGGUCACCCCGGCGAGUCCAACGGGUUCACAGAACCCCGUAGAGCAUCCCUAGCGCCUCGCCUUGCUCGACUUCGAGCUCCAGCACCGUUCCCGUGCACGACCGAACCCCGGCGGCCGCAGCCGAGCUCGCCGCCGUCGACUCCGGCCACCCCGACCCCAACGGGCUCCGCCAAGAGCUGCGGGUUGUCCUCAGCUCCACUCAGGUGGCCUCCGCGAUCCAUUUGGUGGCCGAAACGACCAAAAUCACUUCCGCCGCCGCGUCGGGCUCGCCGGCGACUAAACGCCGGCAGCCGACACUGACUUUGACCACGGGUGGGCCCUGGUUGACUCCCCUGAGUCAAUGACAGGUGGGGCCCAGCCCUGUUAAUUAAACAGGAUUAGUUUUAAUUAAGUUUUAAUUAAAAUAAUCACCCUGACAUGCGGGACCCACUGUCAGGUUUGACCUGGACCAGUUCCGUUGACCUGCUGACGUCACACUGACGUCAGGCUGACGCAGUAAAUUAAUUUCUGGAUUUAAAUUAAAUCAGGAAAUUCCAGAAUAUUAUUUAAACUUCAAAAAUUCAUAACUUUUAUUCUGUAACUCCAAAUUGGACAAAUUAUAUAUGAAAAAUGAUCAGAAAAAUCCAAUCUAUCCAUCUGUACCAUUUUCAUGCAUGAUCAAACAAGUUAAGUUGAUGUUUUAAUCAGAACAAGAAAAGGCACUUUAAAAGGCCAUAUUUGAAUUUGAAAUCUGAAUCUUUGAUUCAAAUUUGUUCAAACCCUUCUGGUUUUUAGUUGCAUUAGCCCAACACACUCAUAUUGCCAUGUUUCAUGCAUGCAUCAUAUUGUUGCAUAUUGUUUGGUGAUGUUUGUGUAUCGAUGUCCUUUGCGACAGGAUCUGUCCCCGAGGAGUAUCGUGAUUACCCUAACGAAGAACCGUAUCCGUGCAACGAACCAUCAGGCAAGCAACCAACCAUUUGAUCAUAUCAAUACAAUCCCAUGUUCUCGCUCCUGCUCUCAUUUACUGCAUUAAGACAACGCGAUUCAAACUGCUGUGUGCUACGGUAGUUGAACCCAUUUCAUCUGCAUGACCUGUCAUUGCCACAGUAACUAGAUGAAACCCACUAGCAUGUGUAGGAGUUGAUUGAGCCAUAUGUAUGUGUUGUUCCUACCUUGCUAUGCCUGCUAUGCUUAGAGUCGUGUCAGGUCUGGUUCAUCUGGGUGAUGGGCUAGAGUGAAAUGAUUAUGUCGGUAAUGAGAGUGGUGUGGUGAACACGAUUUGGUAAAGGUAUCGAUGAGAGGCCAUGUAGGAGUACAUGGUGGGUUGUUUCAUUGAAGCCGACCUUAAGCACUGAGAUCUGUAUGUGUGAUUUAAGAUACAGCUACUACCAUGCAUUGGGCCCUGAAAUAUGACCCCGCUCGACUUCUUAUUCACCCUAGCUCUCUGUCUAGGAGUUGCAAGUAGUUUCUGGUGUUUGUAGCCUACUGGAGGCCGUGGACAGCGCUGACCGUAGGGGUGGGCUGUGAUGCGGUAGGUACGUGGCACGGUGUACCGAAUACCCGUUAGGUAUCUCGGGAACCCUGUUCACAUCGUUCGGGGCCGUAUGGGAAACCUCGGCCGGACUCCCUGCGGAUGGAACCUGAAUAGGCGAUAAACCUGGACUAGAGGCUUAAGUGUUUAGGUAGGUCGUGGUCUACACCCACGUCGGUUUUCGCUUGAAGUCUGCCGAGCACAUGUCGUGUGCAGACGCUAAGUGGUGGAAACAUGUAUGAAGAAGUACACCCCUGCAGGGUUAUCAUAAUCUAUUCGAAUAGCCGCGUCCGUGGUAAAGGACUACUUGGUUGCCUAUACAGUUCAUAGACAAGUAAAUGGAAACUACUAAAAGCCUCAAGAUAAGUGUGAGUGCCGAGGAUGGCUCUUCCGUAGGAAGACGGAGGUGAAUCCUCGGUAGUGUAUUGAAGUGGUGAGUAGUGGACUCGUGUGCGCAAAACUAUUUCAAGUUGGAGUAUCGUAGGUUAGCCUAGCCAAGAGUCAAAGCUGGCUUGCUGCAAUAACUCCACCAACCCUUCUUGAUACUAUGCAUGUAUGUAGGAUCUGAUGUAAGUCUUGCUGAGUACCUUUGUACUCAUGUUGCUAUAAUCUACAUUUUUUACAGAAGACGCUGCAACCCCUUCUGAUGGGUUCUAUGUAGACGUUGACAUCAACGAGUAGGCUAAAGACCCAGGUGGUGACCCUGAGCUUGUGAUGGACCACGUAGUAUAGCUAGGCUUUCCAAGCCUCUUUUAUUUUACUAGUUGUCUGUACCCAGACAAAGUACUUCCGCUGUUGGCUUGUAUGACUGUAUGAUUUGUAUGUUGGGUCGUGAGACCCGUACCUGUGUGUAUGAUAUGUAUGGCUCCCUGAGCCUUAAAUAAAGUACUUGUGUCAUAGAGUCAUGUUGUGAUGCUUCGUUGUAUUUGCACAUAUCGAGCAUAUUGUGUGUAUGAUUGAAAUGCUUGGUAUGUGUGGGAUCUGACUAUCUAGUUGUUUAUCUUUAGUAGCCUCUCUUACCGGGAAAUGUCUCCUAGUGUUACCGCUGAGCCAUGGUAGCUUGCUACUGCUCUGGAACACUUAGGCUGGCCGGCAUAUGUCCUUCUUCGUUCCUGUGUCUGUCCCUUCGGGGAAAUGUCACGCUUUGAGUACCGGAGUCCUGUUAGCCCGCUACAGCCCGGUUUACCGGAGUCCUGCUAGCCCAGUGCUACAGCCCGGACCCACUUGCUGAUGACCGACACGUUCGAAGCUGGGUCAUGGAUGCCUGUCCCUGUAAGUCUGUGCCACUUUGGGUUUACGACUAGUCAUGUCAGCCCGGGCUCUUUAUCAUAUGGAUGCUAGCGACACUAUCAUAUACGUGAGCCAAAAGGCGCAAACGGUCCCGGGAAAAGGUAAGACGACACCCGUGGGGAUACCGUGCGUGAGGCCGCAAAGUGAUAUGAGGUGUUACCAGCUAGAUCGAUGUGACAUCGAGUCGGGGUCCUGACAUCAAUUAUGCACAUAAAUUUUUUAUCACAUAUUUCAUCACAGAAAUAUCAAAUACUUCAACAAAAUAGUACAACAACAAAUAGUUCAAUACAAUUUAUAUAGUUGAAGAAAUAAAAACUCAUAUUCCAUCACACGUCGCGCCCGACGUCACCCUUGAGCCUCCAUAGAUGCUCUAUCAGAUCUUGCUGCACUUGAUGAUGCACCUGUGGGUCUCGGAUCUCCUGACGCAUACUGAGAUAGGCAGUCCAGGUUGCCGGUAGCUGGUGAUCAACUUCGGCUAGAUGACCCUGCCUAUAGUAUGGUUCAGUGUCAAACACUGGGUCUUCUUGCUCGUUCUCGAUGAUCAUGUUGUGCAAGAUGACACAGCAAGUCAUAAUCUCCCACAUUUGAUCUUUCGACCAGGUCUGAGCGGGGUACCGGACAACAGCAAAUCGAGAUUGGAGCAUACCAAAUGCCCUCUCGACAUCCUUCCUGUAAGCCUCCUGAACCUUCGCAAACCAGCCGUUCUUGCCUCCUGGCACAGGGUUUGAGAUCGUCUUCACAAAUGUCGACCAUCUCGGAUAGAUGCCAUCAGCUAGAUAGUACCCCUUGUUGUAGUGCCGCCCAUUGAUCUCGAAGUUCACCGGAGGAGAAUGACCUUCAACAAGCUUGGCAAAGACAGGAGAGCACUGCAGCACGUUGAUGUCAUUGUGAGUUCCUGGCAUACCAAAGAAGGAGUGACAAAUGCAGAGGUCCUGUGUGGCCACCGCCUCAAGUACCACACUGCAACCGUCUUUGGCGCCUUUGUACAUCCCCUGCCAAGCAAAUGGGCAAUUCUUCCAUUUCCAAUGCAUGCAGUCGACUCUUCCAAGCAUCCCAGGAAAUCCUCUUGCUGCAUUCUGUGCUAGGAUCCGAGAAGUGUCUUCCGCAUUGGGUGUUCUCAAGUAUUGCGGUCCAAACACGGCCACCAUUGUCCGAAAGAACUUGUAGAAACACUCUAUGCUGGUGGACUCGGCCAUGUGCCCAUAGUCGUCGAGUGAAUCACCGGGAGCUCCGUAUGCAAGCAUCCUCAUCGCUGUCGUGCACUUCUGAAUGGAGGUGAAUCCAAGGGCGCCGGUGCAAUCCAUCUUGCACUUGAAGUAGUUGUCGAACUCCCGGAUGGAAUUCACAAUCCUGAGGAAGAGCUUUCGGCUCAUCCGAUAACCGCGCCGAAAUGUUUUCUCGCCGUGAAGUGGAGCAUCGGCGAAGUAGUCGGAGUAGAGCAUGCAGUAGCCUUCGAGACGAUGCCGGUUCAUUGCUUUCACCCGCCCCGGCGCCGAGCCACCUCGCUGCGGCUUUUCAUUGCUCGCCAGCAGCUGGGCAAGGGCGGCGAGCAACAUGAGAUGCUCUUCUUCCUGGACAUCGGCCUCGGCUUCCUCCUCCAACAGCGCGGCGAGCGCUUCCUCAUCAUCCGAGUCCAUCGCCGAGGCAGGCAAAUCGCCGAACACCUUGCGCCCGGUGGGCGUGUACCCGCCGCUAAACUGCCCCUCUGCGGCCGGAAACACCCAGCUGCUGUUGGAGGGGCUGCCGCGGUGAAGCUCUGCUAUUUUUUCGGCGGGGAAUGGCUAUCUAGCGGUGAAGGGCGGCAGGCGGCGUCAGGAUAUAGCUAGUGGCGGCCGAGGGCGCGGGGGUGGGAGGCGAGUCGGGGAAGAAAACCUUAACUUUUCCCCUGCUGGUGUGGGCCAGCCGCGCUUUUCCCUUGCGCCGGGGCUCCCAAUUGCCCCUAGUGCGCCGGGUUUGGCCUGUGACCGCCGAGCGGAAAAAAGGGCCGAACCGGCAAUUUUCGGCGUCCUGGGGGCGCGAGUGGGGAAUUUUUUUGGCGCCGGCGGCGAAAAAGUGGCCUGGGGGGCCUGUUGGGGGCGCGGCCGGAGAUGCUCUAAGCAAUUCAAUGAGUUCAUGAGGGAAGAUAAAAUGACUUCUUCAAAUCAAAGGAAGAGAGUUGGAAGUUUCAAAGGAAUAAUUUGAAGACACUUUGAAGUUAUUUGAAACUCAUUUUUCCAUUUGAAGUUGUUUGAAAUUCCAAAUUUCAAAUCCUCUUGGGAGUUAUUUAGGUUUAAUUCAAAUUAUUUUUCUCCAAAAAAUAAAUAGAUGGAAAUAAGGGUAAAAUGAUUCCCUUCAAUAGAAAAUUAGGAGAAAAUAUAUUUGAAAUCAUUUUGCUAUUUUAAAAACGAUUUUUAUUGAUUUUAAAUGCAAUAGUAGCACUAUUUGACUUUUAUGAAUUUUUAUGGAAUUUAGUUGAACUUGAAAAAUAAUUCAUCUUAUUGCUGCUAUUUUUCUGAGCAUUUUGGUAUAUAAUAUUCCUACGUAAUUUUUUUAGUUAUCUUCCUAUGUUGAAGGUUUUGUUUCUGCAAAAAAAAACACGCGCCCGCCAGCCAGCCCAGGGUCUUCGGCCCAAGAGCCAGCCAGCACACCAAGCCGGCCCAGCAGCGCCCCAGGCCGCUCGAGGCCUCUUGCCUCGUUCUCCCAGGCCCCUCUUCCCUCGCUCGCUCUCUCCCACCGCCGCUGCUAGUGGGGCCCGCAACCCUUCGUCCCUAACUUCCCGCUCCUCCCGUUGAUAUAGAGCACGUUGAUAUAGAGCACGCGUGUGCCGCCCGCAACUGCCGGCUGCUCUGCUCGGGAUAGAGCUCAUCCCCAGUGUCCGCAGCCUCUUCUCGCGCCUAUAAAUUCCCCCGACUCCCCUCGUUCGAUUUUGCCACUCCGCAACGACCCACGCCACUCACAGCCGCCGCCUUCGUCGUUUGGAUCUCGCCCGUCGGAGCUACCUGGCCGGUCCGUUCCCCCGUCCGUAAGACUGCCUCGACCCGUUCUUCUUUGUCAAUUGACUCCCCGCGUCAAGGCGCAUCUGAUUGACAAAAAAUUGCCGCCUUGGUCGUACCAGAGACGACGCCCCGACGCGCCGCGCUCUCGCCGGAGCACCGGAGCUCCGCCGCCUCCCUCCGCUCGUCGCUGGCCACCCCACCGCCCGCCGACCCCACCAGCACGCCGCCCACGCCGCGCCCGACCUCCCCGACCCCUUCGUCGCCGCUGCCCACUGAGGACCGCCGGAGACGCCCCCGUGUCCGCCGUCCGCCGCCUGACGCUAGCGCUGCCGCCCCUGUUCGCCGUCCUCGCUCGCUGUGAGCCGCUGACCCUCAGUCAUUUUUGUUGUUGUUGUAUUAGAUCGGGUAACCGUGGUUUUAUUAAACCGUGCAGUUUAGUAAAAAACCGGUCUCCGGUUUUCUUUUUAUUUAGCCGCGGUAGCCGUUUUAUUUAUUCAGUGGCCGUCCGCCGUUUAGCCUGAGCCGCGAACGCUUCUCAGCCACCCGGAAGCCGCCACGUGGCCAGGGACCUGGUCACGAAUAAAACUUUCACAAUUAAGACCCUUAGAUUUCAGUUUAGCCCCUAAACUUCGAAUGGUUGUAUCUUUUUAACCGUAACUGCAAAUUCGACGAAACCAGCAGCAAAAUGUUCAUGUCCAAUAGUUUUAUCCAGAGAACCAACUUUGAAAACUUUUGGACAAAUUCAAAUUUGAACUUUAUUCAGAUUUGAAUUCAAACUUCAACUGGCCAUAUCUCUUAAACCGUAGCUCCGAUUGGUGUGAUUCUUUUUGCAACGUGUCAUCGUAGCCAAACCCUACCACCUAGACCUUGUCACAAUCUGUCUAUGAUAGUUUUACUAUUAUGCCAUGUAUGGACUUUAGUACACAUCACAGUUUUGAACCCCAUGUCACAAGUUGUUUUGCACUUAGGAUAUUUCCAUGCUAGUUAACUGUGUUGAAUAUUCAUUUGGUUUUUCUGAGACUUUGUGCUUUGCAUGUUCUUCUUGGUUCUCUGAAACGAUUGCUUAUGUGAGUGCAAUGUUUGACUUUAUAGAUUUUCAUCGGAGAGUGAAGAAUAGUUCUAUUAAAUAAAUUUCUGAGAGCGAUAUAAUCUUCAUCAACUAUUACCAGGCAAGUUCACAUUUGACCAUUUUUCCAAUUACCUAUGUUUAUAUUAUGCACUUAGUCCUUUUGUGGUAGGAUUGCAUGGUAGGAUUUAUUGUUACCAGAUGGCUAUGCCGUUACCUAGUAGUUCAUUUAAGGUAGGUAUGAUCUAUACAUCCUUGUCACCACCGUGUAAGUUUAUUUUUGCCUCACUAAAUGUAGACGUGGUUUGGGAAGCGAACAUGGCGAGACAUGAGUGACAAAGUAGUAAUCAGGACCAAGACUUGUAAAUGAACUACCUGGGCGGUAUUUUGUUUGAAUGGUGGCGAAGUACAGUGGGAGCAUGCAUGGUUAAUCCAUGGUGGUGCACCACUAGUGGUUGGCCGCUUAGGCUCAAAGAGAUCAAUAGUAUUCUCAUGUCUAGAAGCUUAAGUGUGCAGCCACAAACCAAUAUGGGCUCUAGCUUAGUUGAGUAGUUAGUGUGACCCAUUCCGGGAUGGGCUAGCAGAUGUAGAAUGAUGUAGGUGUACCGGCCUAUCCAUGGGUUAAGGGGUGACAUUUUUGAAAGAGUAUGUCUCGGUCAUCCUGUUCUCAAACGCCAGGCAGUGCGAGAACUCCAGGGGAGGCGAUCGAGUCUUGUGGGGAAAAGUGCGCAAACCUCUGUAGAGUGUUUUUUUUGAACUUGACAGUGGGAGAGAACUCCCACUGUAUAUUUUCACAUAUCUAUAUAAAUGGGGUGUUUACAUAGACAUACCACUCACACACAUCCAGCUCCACUCUUGGUGGAACCACCAGGGGUGGGGCAACUACACCAUGGUCACUGCUAUACACUUGUCUCUAAGUAUUUAAAGAGGGAAGAAUAAAACACAGUAUGUCUCAGCUAAGUGUGCCACAGUAUGAAAGCAGGGCAGCUCUACGUGUACCCUGAACUCUAUGUUGCAGAAGUCCCAAGUCCUCUUUGAAUCGAUGGAACCAAGAUGCAAUGCUUGGGGUUACACCUCUGAAGUGUUUAUUGUUUCUUUCCUUCCACAAACUCCAGGUAGUAGUGAAAAAUGCUUCAAUGAAGAAAGGAUUGGGCCAGUUGGGUUGUGCGUUUUGCAACGCAUCAAACCUAUUUUGAAAAUCAAUCCAGUGAACACCUAUCUUGGCCCAACACCUUUCGCUGAACUGGCAGGUGAAGAUCAUAUGCUCGAGAGUCUCAUCUGCAUUUUGCCCACAAAGGAGACAUGUGAUGUCAUUCCCAAUGUCAUAGUGUCUUCUUCUCAGCAUGUCACAUGUGUUCAACCUGUCGUGCAGCAACAACCAUCCAAAUACUUUGAUUUUCAUCAUACAGUUUGAUUUCCAAAGGAGCGGGAAGAUGGGAUGAGCUGUUGCAUCACGGGAGAAGUUGUUAUAGUAGUCUUUUGGCUUGUACCCAGCUGCCCCCCAAGCAUAGAGCCAAACAUCAGAUAUUGUUGUGGAUGGGUGUAUGCGGAAUGCUGCAUGUUGGACAUCUUGCACCUCGUUGAGCGCACGAGCAGAUAGCGGUAGGUGAAAGGUUUCAUGCAGUUCAGUGUUGGCCCAGAAGUCAGCGACCGUCAUGUCUUCCUGCAGAGCAAAUGAAAAGGCACGCGGGUGCGAUGUUUGUAGCACAUCAUUUGACCACAAGUCUUUCCAGAGCAGCGUAGUCGAGCCAUCAACUACUUGGACACGAGUGAUCCCUCGGUAGAUGGGCGUUAAUUUGAGAAUGUCUUUCCACCAGAAAGAACCGACUAGAUCAACCGCAUGAGGCACCUGGUUAGCAUACUGAUUAUCCCAAAGCAUAGUAACCCAUGGUACGUCCAGUUUGUUAUAGAACUUGUGGAGAAAUUUUAGCAGGAGGGCUUCGUUGUAGAUUGUAAUGUUGAUCACUCCUAACCCACAUUUACACUUGGGCUUGCACACUAGUUCCCAAGCCGCAAGCGAAUUACAUUUGUCACCUUGGUCGGUUUUCUUUGUCCAGAGACAUCUCCUUCUAAUCUUGUCAAGAAUUUCAAUUAGAUUCGGAGGGAACUUGAGCGUGCACAUGGCAAACACCAGAAGGGAUGUGACCGAUGCAUUGAGCCAGGAGAGGCGGCCCCCAUAGGACAUCAUAGCGAUCGUGGCAGUGAGACGAUGCUCCAUUUUGCAAACUAGAGGCAUGAAUUCUUGAAUGGUUGGUCUUGUAGUGCCAAGUGGCAGGCCAAGGUAGGUGAAAGGCAUUGUACCUAUAGUGCAGCCAAAAAUGGCAGCAAGGCUAGAGGUUGCACUUGCGUCCAGGUUGAUUGGUAUGAGCGUCGACUUGUGAAAGUUAAUUUUGAGGCCAAUAGAGGAUGCAUAGUCAGAGAGAAUGUUCUUGACACGGGCAGCCUGUUGUGGGCAAGCAGGCAAGACAAGGAGGGUGUCGUCCGCAUAUUGGAUCACUGGGUAAUCAUUUUGCCCAUUGCAUGGAAAAGGCAGGCUGAUAUCUCCACGUCGAUAAGCAUCAUUGCCGUGGCUUGAAGUAGUUCAGCUGCCAGGACGAAAAUGAGGGGGGACAGAGGAUCACCUUGCCGCACACCGCAUCGACAAAGGAACUGUCGGCCUGGGACCCCAUUAAGAAGUUUGGACGAGCGACCCGAGGAGAAGAGGCACUUGAUCCAGGAGAUCCACUUGUCACUGAAACCCAUCUGCUGCAUAAUGCAAAUCAUUGGUUCAUGCGUGAUGGUAUCGAAUGCUUUGGCGAAAUCAAGUUUAAGAAUAAUGAUUGGCCGGCCCAAGUUUUGACAGUGAUAAAGAUAUUGAUAAUCUCAUGCCAGACAAUUCUGUAUAGUAUGCCCUUUAAUGAACCCAUACUGAUUCCGGUGAAUGAGGGUGAGAAUGACAAGUUGAAGUCUGUCUGCUAGCAGUUUGGUAAUCAACUUGAGGCAGCAGUUGAGCAAUGUAAUGAGUCUGAAAUCAUUGACUGUUUCUGGAGAGUUAGUCUUAGGUAUAAGUGUGAUAAGACCAUCAUUGAUACUUGUGACAUCUAACGUACCUGCAUAGAACUGAUCACAUAGGGUGUAAAAGUCAUGUCGAAUGAUGGGCCAGCAGGCUUUCAAAAACGCCCCACUAAAGCCAUCUGGGCCAGGUGCGUGGUCCGGAGGCAUACCUUUGACCACAUUAUCGAUUUCCUCAUGUGAAAAAGGCGUGGUAAGUUGGUCAAGAUUUGUAGCGCGGGGGAUAAUGUUUGGAAGAUCAAAUUUCAUGUCUGAAGGGGAGACCGUACCCAGGCGGUUUUUGUAAGUUUGAAACAAGAGGGCCUCUUUUGCAGGAUGAUUGUCGACCAAUGUGCCAUCCUCAAGCUUGAGUGAGGAGAUAUUGUUUUGUCGAUAACGUUCCCUGGCCACUGCUUGGAAAAACUUGGAGUUUUCAUCGCCAAACUUGAUCCAACGAAUAGUACAACGCUUCUUCCAAUAAAGUUUUUGAUAUUUGAGCAGUCUCAGCAAGUGUGACUUUAGGAUACGUUUGAAGUUCAUUUUUGGAAUUGAAAGGAUUCGUUUAUUCUGCCAGGACAUGGUUACAGUUCGUGAUGGCCACUAAUAGACGAGAAAUAUUCUUACUCCAGAUUUUGAGAGUGUGUCGAAGAGCUUUGAAUUUUCAGCAAAGGAUUGUGGCAGCAUUUGCGUUCCAAACUGGCCAUUCCCAAACCUCUCUAACUAUGUCCAUAAACCCUGGGUGUAAGGUCCAGUAGGAUUCAAAACGAAAGAGCUUGGAUCGGGGGAUUUUGGUCUCUAUGGUGACAACGCAAGGGAUGUGAUCAGAAACGGGCUUGCCAAGGGGUUUAACGAGCAUCUUAGGAUAUGCGUUACUCCAAUGCAAGGAUGUGGAGAACCAGUCAAUCUGUUCAAGCAAAGGAUCGGUCUGCAUAUUGCUCCAAGUGUAGGUUCUACCUUUUACCGGAAGCUCAAUCAGUUGCUGCUGACGAAUGAUGUCAUUGAACGUAAUCAUGUCGUGAAUGUUACCCCCAGGUUUAUUAUGAUUGUCUGGAGCUCUCAUGUAGUUAAAGUCGCCCAAAAGUAACCAGUCUUGGUUACGGGGUAUUUGAACAUCGUACAACCAUUGCGUGAAAACAUCCCUGUCUGUACCAGUGCAAGGCCCGUACACGUUAACUAACGUCCAAUGUUGAGAGGAUUGCGUGCUAACGAACUCGAUGGCUAGCGCAAAUGGAUCAGACGAGAGUACUGAACCAGAGAAAACCGAGCUUUUCCAGAUUGUAAGUAACCCCCAGAGGCGCCGCGCGAAGGGACAAAAGCAAAACGAUCAAAUUGUCUAGGACAGCAAGUUUUAAUAGAAGCAAAAGUAACCUCAGGCAUCUUAGUCUCCUAAGGACAAGCGAUAGCAAAACCACUGGUAGAGAUAGCAUUAUUCAGAGCCAGUCGCUUCUUCUCAGAAUUGAGCCCACGGAUAUUCCAUGAGAGCACAUUCCAGCAGCUCAACGACGUCAUAUAGAACUCCAAUAUUAAGCAGAGGUGUGAGAGAGAUCCUCUCCCUGGUCAUCACUAUUAAUCGAAGAGGCAAAAGAUUCGGGCACGGCAGCAGUUUCAGCAAGCAGGGCUUCUUUAGAAAGUUCAGUAGCAGGUAUAGCACAUCUGUUAACUCCAAUGGAUUGUAGAGUAACUAUAGGAGUUGGGGGCGGGACCUCACCAGCAGAAGUAGCAGCAGAUGCUGAUGUGCCAAUAGACGGGAUGACACGGGGCUUAACUUUGGAAUUGUUCUUGCGACUGUCAGAGAGGGGAGGAACCUUGACCCCAUCAUACGUGUUGGAGCGGAGACUGCGGCGCACUUCAGUUGUGGAGAUAGGGGCAGCAGCCCUGGUCCUACGGGGGCGCGGGCCAGUGGUGGCCAUAGAAGCAGUUGCCUCUGAGAUCACAGAAGGUUCUGAAGGUGGAAUGUGCACAACUUGUUCUGUGUCCAUUGGGGCGUCUUCAGUGUUGGGCGGCAUGGCGGGCUCAAUGGCGUUUUCCACACUAGCAUGUUCAGAUAGGUCCUCAAUGAUCACAGCGGAGGCAGCCAAAGCAGAAGUAGAGCUUGAUUGCUGGGAAAAGGUCAGACUAGUAGAAUCCUGUGUGAUCAAGACAGACAACUGAACCUGGUUUGUUCUCAGACCAAACCCCUCUAUCCAAGGUCCAAAAGUUGCAAGCAUUGGGCUAACAGCUUGGAAGAUGAAUGUGUUAAGAUUCAGGCGUGGGAUUGGGUCAUUCAGCAGCCUGGAAAGGAUCUCAUCUCCUUGAGCAGAUAAACCAAAUCUGACACCUUGAUCAUUGAUCUCCAGUGUGAUGUUAAGAGAUUCAAAGCUUGCACUGUCAGACAGCUGUAUAGCUGGAUCAGCCGGGAUGAGAAUGUCAGACUGGGUCAAGCUUGAACUGUCAAACUGGGUGAUCGAAUCAUUCCAAGCUUGGAGAGCAUUAUCAGUGACAUUGUUUUCAGGGACUAACCCAUGUUGCACAGUCAGACCCUGCGCAGCAAGCCAGGCUUGUUAGUUCACCAAAUGGAGCGGCAUUUGCGGGAGUGGAGGAGCAGCGGGCGCCUCCCAAGUGCCCCAUCCAGUGUUGUCAUCCACUUGUUGAGCCUCAUUGUUGCCAGCUGCGGGUGCACCAUUCUGAAUGAGCCAAUUGUGAACUUGCUGCUGAUAUAACUGUUCUGCAGUGAGUUCAGGGCCAAACUGUGGAUGUGGGUUGCCAUCGGGGGGUGGCAUUUCCUCAGGUGCAGCAGGUACAUCAGGGAGGAGGCCAUUCCAGUCGUUGCUGCGACGGAUGGUCACUACUACUGUCCAACUGUCGUGCGCACCACCCAGCUGCCAUACCACAAAGCUCUUGGGGAUGAGGCGCAGACUAAGUACUCUGACUUUUAGAAGGAUGAAUCUGCGGUCCUGACGCGGAUUAUACCAGGAAACUAAGGAACCAUAUCCACCCAAGGCCUUAGUGAUGUAAUAGUCCAUUUGGUAGUCAUACGGAAAGCCGAAGAACAUAAUCCAAAUCUCAGGCCCAAACGGUGCAGCUCUACGAUUAAGAGCCGCAUUGUGCGAAACGAAGGUGAUCAACAGAUCUUCAUCUUCAAGCUCAAGCGGUGUGUUGACAGCAUUAUCUCUCAUAAAGGAAUCCACAAAACCAAAAAUCCCAACACCAAGGGGGUGAUCCGAUGGCGGACGGUGGCCCGGCGAUGCAGGGGCAGAUACUCACUGGCUUCUGCAAUGGCCAGGAACUCAUGGCUGAGUGGAGCAAUCGGGCCAACGACCAUGCCGCUGCGCACAAGACUAUCGGCCGGCCCUGGCUCAGCGGCAAAACCCGGCGGGAGGAAAGGCACAGGGUUCAGUGGGUAGUUCGCCAUUGUGGUGGAAGGGAUCAGAGGGGAGGACGGUGGUGCGGAGAUGGGAUGCAACUGCAAUGGCGCAAGCUGCAGCAAAGCGUCAGACUGUGGCGAUGGGACUGGACGGGAUGUGGCCCAUUGGGUUCUCGAGGCGGAAGCUGAAGCGUGAAUGGGGGCGGUAGAAGGCAAAGUUGCCUUUGCAACCUCUGUAGAGUGUUAAAACCUAAUCGAUUAACCAUGUCCCCGGUUACGGACAACUUGAGCAUCUAGUAGUGGAAAUGAUGGGAGAUCUCAUCACUCUUAAUUAAACAGUUGGUUUUUAAAUGAAACAUUGGGAAUGGAUUGAGUUGGGUUUGCCAACUCAUCCUAUGCUAUACUGUAGUGAUAGACUAAUGUCUUUUAUUCUAGGGAAAAACUAGCUUUAUGCAAAAACUAAACUUAGAGUUUUCCACCAGCCAAAUUGCAUGUACAAAUAGGUUCAUUAUUCUUAUGAUGUGACUUGCCAGUACAUUCAAUGUACUGACCUAUAGGGCUGCAACGUCUUAUGUUGCAGGAAUUUCUACGACGAGUAAGAAUUAUGUUGUAGGGUUAUCGUCUACACUCAACUUGCCGUUGGCGUUGAUGGGACUCCACACCCGUUCGAUUGUUUCCACUGAGAUUUAUGAGGUAUAUAUCAGUUUUGCGUUAUUUAUACAUUUGAUUGAACUUUGAUAUAUACAUUGAUGUACUGUGUGUGCCAGCAUAUCAAUCCAGGGAUGGCCCGGAUACACAGAGGCUUGACAGUUUGAGCUCGGGUCGCUACAGAGAUGGUAUCAGAGCACAUGUUGACUAUAGGACGUGACCCUAGAAACUGGAAAGCCCUUAGGAAAAGAUUUCUCUAAAAGUUUAUUUUCAAAAAGAUCCUUUACCUCUCUUCAUUUCUGAGCUUUAUCAAAUCUUUCCUUUUACCCCAAAUAGGUAGGCAAUAUCCCUUUUCCCUUUCACCACGCGGAGGAUCAACUGAUGAGACCACUCCGAGAAGGGCAAGAUAUCGGCCAACUGAUGGCCACUUCAAAGUAAAGAGGAUUUCAUCAUGCAUUAGAACAGUUAAUGCUACGACAGUCGAAGACUCGAAGAAUUUGAAGACACUGAAGAAUUCCAAGAUUUAUAUGACCUUUAGAAGACCAAACCCUUGUUGUGUACUCACGUUAGAUGCGAUGAUUUGUGAGCUGUCAUAUUUGGUGUGUGUUUUCCAUUGCAACAAAUAAAACUUAUUUUCAAAAACUAUAUUGUUUGUAUUGUGUGUAUCUUUCUCUAUCCCUCUUAUCUCAUCCCAAAACCCUUGGACCCAAUAGAUGAUGAAUGAAGAUGGACUUGUAUUCUCUGGACCGAUCACUCGGUUAGAGGAAGAGCUAUGGAUUCAAAACAUGGAGAGUCACUUCGAGAGCAAUUUGGUUGCAAGGAAGUAUGAGGUUCAAUAUGCUCUUUAAUACUUUACAAAAAGUGCUACAACAUGGUGGAAAAUGCAUCAAGCCAUACAAGGAUGUAAUGGAGCAAAAACUUGGGAGGAAUUGAAGAAGACUCUGUUGGGAUCCCGUCUUAUCCGGAAGCACGGUGAUAAACUGAUGAAGAAACCUUGUGCCUGCAAGAUAUGUGGAGAAAUAGGACACACCCAUGAAGAACACAAGGAUGGAUGCCCUCAUUAUGAAGGAAAUCACCCAGCAGAAGAGUGCCCAACUAGGCAGGUUACUUGUUUCUUGUGUGAAGGAACUACGCACUACCCUGCCCAGUGUCAUAUUUACCCCAGGGUACAAGAAAUUACCAAGAACCAGAAGGAAGAAGUGAAAGAAGCCCUCAGGGAAAGUUUAAGAAAACUGGUGAUGAAAGAAGAUGUUGACGACCCUGAUGGAGAAAGCCUAAACAGAUUUUACUCCAAUGCUUGCUAUGCAUGUGGAGAAGAAGGACAUUUCUCACAAUAUUGCGUGAAGGAAAACCAAGAGUAUCUGGGAGACUUCCCGAUAGAAGAAGUGGGGUUUGAUCGACAAGAGAUAGAAGAAUUGAUCGGAACGAAGAAGUCGAGGAAGAGAAAGAGCAUGUAUCCCCAGAACAACCCAGUUUCUGCAGAAAAGGACCUGAGUCAUAUCACUUGUUACAGCUGCAAGGAUUUAGCUCAUUAUUCUAGCAAAUGCCCACCAAGGAAGCCAAGAACCCAAGGAACCAAGAUAACCACCAGGAACCCCUGGAUUUGUCUGACGCCAUUUGUUUACGCUGCAAAGGAGUAGGACAUUUUGUCAGAGAAUGUUCAGACCCGAGGAAAGCUUGAGCAGAGUAGUUGAGAUCUUGAUAUUGGAAUAAAGCAUGUAAUAAAUGUGGAACGCACUUUUAUUUUCGUGGGGGGUGUUGAUACGUCUCCAACGUAUCUAUAAUUUUUGAUUGCUCCAUGCUAUAUUAUCUACUGUUUUGGACUAUAUUGGGCUUUAUUUUCCACUUUUAUAUUAUUUUUGGGACUAACCUAUUAACCGGAGGCCCAGCCCAGAAUUACUGUUUUUUUGCCUAUUUCAGUGUUUUGGAUAAACGGAAUAUCAAACGGAGUCCAAACGGAAUAAAAUCUUCGGGAACGUGAUUUUCUCACCGAACGUGAUCCAUGAGACUUGGACCUUGCUCUAAGGAACAAAAGAGGCGGUCACGAGGGUGGGGGGUGCCCCCCCUAGGGCGCGCCCCCCUGCCUCGUGGGCCCCUCGUUGCUCCUCCGGCGUACUUCUUCCUCCUAUAUAUACACAUGUACCCCCAAACGAUCAGAAGAGGAGCCAAAAACCUAAUUCCACCGCCGCAACUUUCUGUAUCAGAAGAGAUCCCAUCUUGGGGCCUGUUCCGGAGCUCUGCCAGAAGAUGGCCGUCAUCACGGAGGGCUUCUACAUCCUCCUAGCCCCUCCGAUGAAGUGUGAGUUGUUUACCUCAGACCUUCGGGUCCAUAGUUAGUAGCUAGAUGGCUUCUUCUCUCUCUUUGAAUCUCAAUACAAAGUUCUCCCCCUCUCUUGUGGAGAUCUAUUCGAUGUAAUCUUCUUUUCGCGGUGUGUUUGUUGAGACCGAUGAAUUGUGGGUUUAUGAUCAAGUCUAUCUAUGAAUAAUAUUUGAAUCUUCUCUGAAUUCUUUUAUGUAUGAUUGGUUAUCUAUGCAACUCUAUUCGAAUUGUCCGUUUGGUUUGGCCAACUAGAUUGGUAGUUCUUGCCAUGGGAGAAGUGCUUAGCUUUGGGUUCGAUCUUGCGGUGUCCUUACCUAGUGACAGAAGGGGCAGCAAGGCACGUAUUGUAUCGUUGCCAUCGAGGAUAACAAGAUGGGGUUUAUUUCAUAUUGCAUGAAUUUAUCUCUCUACAUCAUGUCAUCUUGCUUAAGGCGUUACUCUGUUUUUAACUUAAUACUCUAGAUGCAUGCUGGAUAGCGGUCGAUGAGUGGAGUAAUAGUAGUAGAUGCAGAAUCGUUUCGAUCUACAUGUCACGGACGUGAUGCCUAUAUACAUGAUCAUGCCUAGAUAUUCUCAUAACUAUGCUCAAUUCUGUCAAUUGCUCAAUAGUAAUUUGUUCACCCACCGUAGAAUACUUAUGCUCUUGAGAGAAGCCACUAGUGAAACCUAUGGCCCCCGGGUCUAUUCUCAUCAUAUCAAUCUCCAUCACUUUAAAUCUUGCUUUGUUUUUACUUUGCUUUUACUUUUUAAUUUGCAUCUUUAUACCAAAAAUACCAAAAAUAUUAUAUCUAUCAGAUCUCAUUCUCGUAAGUGACCGUGAAGGGCUUGACAACCCCUAAUCGCGUUGGUUGCGAGUAGCUAUCGCUUUGUGCAGGUACGAGGGACUUGAGCGUGGGCUCCUACUGGAUUGAUACCUUGGUUCUCAAAAACUGAGGGAAAUACUUACGCUACUCUGCUGCAUCAUCCCUUCGUCUUCGGGGAAAACCAACGCUAGCUCAAGAUGUAGCAGGUGUUGAGUUGAGUUACCGAAUGGAAAUUGUAAUAGCUCAUGAAGAAAUAAAAAUUGAGUUGUUUGGAAUCUCAUAUGAAAUGUUAUGAGUUGUUUUUUGAUUGUGAGUGCCUUUCUCACUAUGUCACCCAGACAUAAACCUUGAACCCAUGGACAAGCUGACCCCAAAACCUUCACUAAAAAAACGACAUUUCACCCAAGGAAAUACAUGCAUUAUCCUAAGUACCCCUUCUAUCUUAUACCUGCAGAUGGCAACCCUUUACGAGUCUUUUCUCAAGGGCCCAGAAACGAUCAUGACCCUAACUAGUGAUCAGGAUUACCCAAAGAUCCUCAAGGACAUGAUGAAGCAUAUUCAUCUUGAAGGAGAUGCAGUCUACAAGGGUUAUCCUUUCAUGGAGAAUGGAGUUGAACUUUGGUACGUGGAGGUACACCUCCAUCGUGUGAAGGGAGUUUUCCCAAAGAGUAUGGGGCAAUACUUUUUCAUUUCUCGAGUACCCCGAGCAACAUUCUUCGACUCUGUUCGUGAAACUGCUAUGGAAGCCAUACGUCAGAUAGGAGAAAUACUUGAAGCCAGACUUCGUUAUACUCAGGAAUACCCGAGGGAGGUGCAUGCAAAGAUGAUGGAGAUGAAGCUCAUGGCCACCAUGAUGAAGCAAAAGGUCGAUGAUUUCAAGGACCACAUUGUACAAUUCCAGUGGGACUAAAUUAUCUUCAAGAAGGGCAAAUGAAUAAAGAUGGAAGUAAUGCUUGACCAUAGCAAACUAUGUGGAUGGCAGCUUUUUGUAAUAGAGUACUUUUGAAAUUUGAGUUUUGAGUAGUGGUUAAGGAUGUAAUAAAGGAUUUGAUAUGAAGAGAAUUAUGGAUGAACCAGUGCAUUUUUUGGCGAUACCUGUCUGUGCGAACACUUGACCAAUGGAAAAGGAAAUGUAUUCCAUAGAGUGAAGUUUGGACAAAUGAGUUGGAGUUUGGUUUUAGUUAUGAUGGUUACCCCAAGAGUAUGAAGGAAUGAAGUACUAUUGGAUUUAAAGGAGAUGUAAUGUUGGAAUAUGGAACAAUAGUAACUCCAAGGAUGAGUUAAAGAUAUACAAGUGUUGAAGUGGGCCAUAACCCACAGGACCCAGGAUUUGAUAAGGAAACAAGCACAAUCUUGUUGAAGAAAAUAAUUCUGAAAGAAGCCAUGAUUUCAUCAGCAUACGUUUCAUAGGAGGUUACAUAAACCCAGGAGUUGUGAAUAAACGAUAGAGGUUUUCUUUGGCUUGCAGAACCAAUGGAUUUAUCCGAACCCAGUUCGUGGAGAAGAGAAGUUUUGCAAUGCUUGUGAGGAUGCCCAAGGGCUAGAAUGCGUGAUUCACUAUCUACGUAUGUGGUAAUGAUUCAAGUACGACAUGGAUUGGCCCCCAUACCGGAGACUUCUAUCAUGAGCUAUCAUAUGAUUGAUAGAAAAUCAGAGAGCCUUAAAACCCUAGAAGAGUGUCGACACGACAAGCCAAAAGCCUUAGAAUGGCAGGAUGAUGGAAACCCUGUACAGGCACCUAUUGCCUACCGUAGGUUAUGCGGUGAGGUUCAACCCAGACCCAUUUCCUGUAGGAGGAACCAGAAAUUGUCGACCACCAUCAGGUUUUCGAUAGUUGUUUAGCAUUGGCGCCAGACCUGUCAAGUCUCAGAAGGAUCCUAUUUUGAUGCAAGGAAUCCUGAUAUUGAGGAAAAGGCCAUGCCCUUACCAGAAGAGCAAAAGUGAAGGGGUUAUCUCAGAGAAUAUGAGAAGACCGACACCGUCAACGCAAAGGAUGGAGUUCAUGAGUUUUAUUGGAACUGUAACCAUGCUUCUAAGGGUGGUAGCACCCCAUUCCUUGUGUUGAUGAAUGGAUUUUCAAGGAGAACCCCCAAACCUAACAUUCUUUCUAGCCUCUUCGAAUCUCGAGGACGAUAUUCAUUUUAAGGGUGGUAGUUUGUAACAUCCCAAAAUUCUAAAUUCUGGAAUGUUAUGUUAAAUAAUUAAUUAUGAUUGUUUGUUUGUUGUGUGAUUGAUUGUGUGAAAAUGAUUGGAAAUUGAAAACUUUUUGAAAGUAGAAUGAGAGGGAAUAAAAGGACUUUCCCGAAACUUUUCAUCUUGCAUUUUGAUCUUCCUGAAUUCAAAUUCAUUUCAUCAUAAAACCCUAGAGUGAAGAUAAUAUGACUUCUUCCAUUUAAAGAAAUGAAAAAAGGGGUUUGAAAAUGAUUUGAAUUCCAUUUGAAAAAUUUUAAAUUUUGAAACUUUAAGCAACUCAAUGAGUACAUGAGGGAAGAUAAAAUGACUUCUUCAGAUCGAUGGAAGAGAGUUGGAAGUUUCAAAGGAAUAAUUUGAAGUCACUUUGAAGUUAUUUGAAACUCAUUUUUCCAUUUGAAGUUGUUUGAAAUUCCAAAUUUCUAAUCCUCUUGGGAGUUAUUUAGUUUUAAUUCAAAUUAUUUUUCCCCUAAAAAUAAAUAGAUGGGAAUAAGGGUAAAUUGAUUCCCUUCAAUAGAAAAUUAGGAGAAAUAUAUCUGAAAUCAUUUUGCUAUUUUAAAAAUGAUUUUUAUUGAUUUUAAAUGCAAUAGUAGCACUGUUUGAAUUUUAUGAAUUUUUAUGGAAUUUAGUUGAACUUGAAAAAUAAUUCAUCUUAUUGCUACUAUUUUUCUGAGCAUUUUGGUAUAUAAUAUUCCUACGUAAAUUUUUUAGUUAUUUUCCUAUGUUGAAGUUUUUGUUUCUGCAAAAAAAAACAUGCGCCCGCCAGCCGGCCCAGGGCCUUCGGCCCAAGAGCCAGCCAGCGUACCGAGCCGGCCCAGCAGCGCCCCAGGCCGCCCGAGGCCUUACGCCUCGCUCGCGCGCGCCCCUCUUCCCUCGCUCGCUCUCUCCCACUACCGCUGCCAGUGGGGCCCGCAACCCUCCGUCCCUAACCUCCCGCUCCUCCCCUUCAGAUAGGGCACGCGCGUGCUGCCCGCAACUGCCGGCAGCUCCGCUCGGGAUAGAGCUCAUCCGCAGUCUCCGCAGCCUCUUCUUGAGCCUAUAAAUUCCCCCGACUCCCCUCGUUCGAUUCUGCCAUUCCGCAACGAUCCACGCCGCUCACAGCCGCCGCCUUCGUCGUUUGGAUCUUGCCCGCCGGAGCUACCUCGCCGGUCCGUUCCAUCGUCCGUAAGACUUCCUCGACCCCGUUCUUCUUUGUCAAUUGACUCCCCGCGUCGAGGCGCAUCUGAUUGACAAAAAUUUGCCGCCUAGGUCGUACCAGAGACGUCGCCCCGACGCGCCGUGCUCUUGCCGAAGCACCGGAGCUCCGCCGCCACCCUCCGCUCGUCGCUGGCCACCCCACCGCCCGCCGACCCCACCAGCACCCCGCCCACGCCGCGCCUGACCUCCCCGACCCCUUCGUCGCCGCUGAGGACCACCAGAGACGCCGCCCUGUCCGCCGUCCGCCGCCUGACGCCAACGGCACCGCACCUGUUCGCCGUCCUCGCUCGCUAUGAGCCGCUGAUCCUCGCUCAUUUUUUGUUGUUGUUGUUGUAUUAGAUCGGGUAACCGUGGUUUUAUUAAACCGUGCGGUUUAGUAAAAAACCGGUCUCCGGUUGUCUUUUUAUUUAGCCACGGUAGCCGUUUUAUUUAUUCAGUGGCCGUCCGCCGUUUAGCCUGAGCCGCGAACGCUGCUCAGCCACCCGGAAGCCGCCACGUGGCCAGGGACCUAGUCGUGAAUAAAACUUUCAUAGUCAAGUCCCUGAGUUUUCAAUUUAGCCCCUCAACUUCGAAUGGUUGUAUCUUUUUAACCGUAGCUCCAAAUUCGACGAAACCAGUGGCAAGAUGUUCGCCUCGAUUAGUUUUAUCCAGAGAACCAACUUUGAAAACUUUUGGCCAAAUUCAAAUUUGAAAUUUAUUCAGAUUUGAAUUCAAACUUCAACUGGCCAUAUCUCUUAAACCGUAGCUCCGAUUGGUGUGAUUCUUUUUGCAACGUGUCAUCAUAGCCAAACCCUACCACCUGGACCUUGUCACAAUACUUUUCACACAACUAGAAUCUGUCUAUGAUAGUUUUACUAUUAUGCCAUGCAUGCACUUUAGUACACAUCAUAGUUUUGAACCCCAUGUCACAAGUUGUUUUGCACUUAGGAUAUUUCCAUGCUAGUUAACUGUGUUGAAUGUUCAUUUGGUUUUUCUGAGACUUUGUGCUUUGCAUGUUCUUCUUGGUUCUCUGAAACGAUUGUUGAGAGUGACGAAUAGUUCUAUGAAGUAAAUUUCUGAGAGUGGUAUAAUCUUCAUCAACUAUUACCAGGCAAGUUCACAUUUGACCAUUUUUCCAAUUACCUAUGUUUAUAUUAUGCACUUAGUCCUUUUGUGGUAGGAUUGCAUGGUAGGAUUUAUUGUUACCAGAUGGCUAUGCCGUUACCUAGUAGUUCAUUUGAGGUAGGUAUGAUCUAUACAUCCUUGUCACCACCGUGUAAGUUUAUUUUUGCCUCGCUAAAUGUAGACGUGGUUUGGGAAGCGAACAUGGCGAGACAUGAGUGACAAACUAGUAAUCAAGACCAAGACUUGUAAAUGAACUACCUGGGCGGUAUUUGAUUUGAAUGGUGGUGAAGUACAGUGGGAGCAUGCAUGGUUAAUCCAUGGUGGUGCACCACUAGUGGUUGGCCGCUCAGGCUCAAAGAGAUGAAUCGUAUUCUCAUGUCUAGAAGCUUAUGUGUGCAGCCACAAGCCAAUAUGGGCUCUGGCUUAGUUGAGUAGUUAGUGUGACCCCUUCCGGGAUGGGCUAGCAGAUGUAGAAUGAUGUAGGUGUACCGGCCUAUCCAUGGGUUAAGGGGUGACAUUUUUGAAAGAGUAUGUCUCGGUCAUCCUGUUCUCAAACGCCAGGCAGUGCGAGAACUCCAGGGGAGGCGAUCGAGUCUUGUGGGGAAAAGUGCGCAAACCUCUGUAGAGUGUUUUUUUUGAACUUGACAGUGGGAGAGAACUCCCACUGUAUAUUUUCACAUAUCUAUAUAAAUGGGGUGUUUACAUAGACAUACCACUCACACACAUCCAGCUCCACUCUUGGUGGAACCACCAGGGGUGGGGCAACUACACCAUGGUCACUGCUAUACACUUGUCUCUAAGUAUUUAAAGAGGGAAGAAUAAAACACAGUAUGUCUCAGCUAAGUGUGCCACAAUAUGAAAGCAGGGCAGCUCUACGUGUACCCUGAACUCUAUGUUGCAGAAGUCCCAAGUUCUCUUUGAAUCGAUGGAACCAAGAUGCAAUGCUUGGGGUUACACCUCUGAAGUGUUUAUUGUUUCUUUCCUUCCACAAACUCCAGGUAGUAGUGAAAAAUGCUUCAAUGAAGAAAGGAUUGGGCCAGUUGGGUUGUGCGUUUUGCAACGCAUCAAACCUAUUUUGAAAAUCAAUCCAGUGAACACCUAUCUUGGCCCAACACCUUUCGCUGAACUGGCAGGUGAAGAUCAUAUGCUCGAGAGUCUCAUCUGCAUUUUGCCCACAAAGGAGACAUGUGAUGUCAUUCCCAAUGUCAUAGUGUCUUCUUCUCAGCAUGUCACAUGUGUUCAACCUGUCGUGCAGUAGCAACCAUCCAAAUACUUUGAUUUUCAUCAUACAGUUUGAUUUCCAAAGGAGCGGGAAGAUGGGAUGAGCUGUUGCAUCACGGGAGAAGUUGUUAUAGUAGUCUUUUGGCUUGUACCCAGCUGUCCCCCAAGCAUAGAGCCAAACAUCAGAUAUUGUUGUGGAUGGGUGUAUGCGGAAUGCUGCAUGUUGGACAUCUUGCACCUCGUUGAGCGCACGAGCAGACAGCGGUAGGUGAAAGGUUUCAUGCAGUUCAGUGUUGGCCCAGAAGUCAGCGACCGUCAUGUCUUCCUGCAGAGCAAAUGAAAAGGCACGCGGGUGCGAUGUUUGUAGCACAUCAUUUGACCACAAGUCUUUCCAGAGCAGCGUAGUCGAGCCAUCAACUACUUGGACACGAGUGAUCCCUCGGUAGAUGGGCGUUAAUUUGAGAAUGUCUUUCCACCAGAAAGAACCGACUAGAUCAACCGCAUGAGGCACCUGGUUAGCAUACUGAUUAUCCCAAAGCAUAGUAACCCAUGGUACGUCCAGUUUGUUAUAGAACUUGUGGAGAAAUUUUAGCAGGAGGGCUUCGUUGUAGAUUGUAAUGUUGAUCACUCCUAACCCACAUUUACACUUGGGCUUGCACACUAGUUCCCAAGCCGCAAGCGAAUUACAUUUGUCACCUUGGUCGGUUUUCUUUGUCCAGAGACAUCUCCUUCUAAUCUUGUCAAGAAUUUCAAUUAGAUUCGGAGGGAACUUGAGCGUGCACAUGGCAAACACCAGAAGGGAUGUGACCGAUGCAUUGAGCCAGGAGAGGCGGCCCCCAUAGGACAUCAUAGCGAUCGUGGCAGUGAGACGAUGCUCCAUUUUGCAAACUAGAGGCAUGAAUUCUUGAAUGGUUGGUCUUGUAGUGCCAAGUGGCAGGCCAAGGUAGGUGAAAGGCAUUGUACCUAUAGUGCAGCCAAAAUGGCAGCAAGGCUAGAGGUUGCACUUGCGUCCAGGUUGAUUGGUAUGAGCGUCGACUUGUGAAAGUUAAUUUUGAGGCCAAUAGAGGAUGCAUAGUCAGAGAGAAUGUUCUUGACACGGGCAGCCUGUUAUGGGCAAGCAGGCAAGACAAGGAGGGUGUCGUCCGCAUAUUGGAUCACUGGGUAAUCAUUUUGCCCAUUGCAUGGAAAAGGCAGGCUGAUAUCUCCAUGUCGAUAAGCAUCAUUGCCGUGGCUUGAAGUAGUUCAGCUGCCAGGACGAAAAUGAGGGGGGACAGAGGAUCACCUUGCCGCACACCGCAUCGACAAAGGAACUGUCGGCCUGGGACCCCAUUAAGAAGUUUGGACGAGCGACCCGAGGAGAAGAGGCACUUGAUCCAGGAGAUCCACUUGUCAUUGAAACCCAUCUGCUGCAUAAUGCAAAUCAUUGGUUCAUGCGUGAUGGUAUCGAAUGCUUUGGCGAAAUCAAGUUUAAGAAUAAUGAUUGGCCGGCCCAAGUUUUGACAGUGAUAAAGAUAUUGAUAAUCUCAUGCCAGACAAUUCUGUAUAGUAUGCCCUUUAAUGAACCCAUACUGAUUCCGGUGAAUGAGGGUGAGAAUGACAAGUUGAAGUCUGUCUGCUAGCAGUUUGGUAAUCAACUUGAGGCAGCAGUUGAGCAAUGUAAUGAGUCUGAAAUCAUUGACUGUUUCUGGAGAGUUAGUCUUAGGUAUAAGUGUGAUAAGACCAUCAUUGAUACUUGUGACAUCUAACGUACCUUCAUAGAACCGAUCACAUAGGGUGUAAAAGUCAUGUCGAAUGAUGGGCCAGCAGGCUUUCAAAAACGCCCCACUAAAGCCAUCUGGGCCAGGUGCGUGGUCCGGAGGCAUACCUUUGACCACAUUAUCGAUUUCCUCAUGUGAAAAAGGCGUGGUAAGUUGGUCAAGAUUUGUAGCGCAGGGGAUAAUGUUUGGAAGAUCAAAUUUCAUGUCUGAAGGGGAGACCGUACCCAGGCGGUUUUUGUAAGUUUGAAACAAGAGGGCCUCUUUUGCAGGAUGAUUGUCGACCAAUGUGCCAUCCUCAAGCUUGAGUGAGGAGAUAUUGUUUUGUCGAUAACGUUCCCUGGCCACUGCUUGGAAAAAUUUGGAGUUUUCAUCGCCAAACUUGAUCCAACGAAUAGUACAACGCUUCUUCCAAUAAAGUUUUUGAUAUUUGAGCAGUCUCAGCAAGUGUGACUUUAGGAUACGUUUGAAGUUCAUUUCUGGAAUUGAAAGGAUUCGUUUAUUCUGCCAGGACAUGGUUACAGUUCGUGAUGGCCACUAAUAGACGAGAAAUAUUCUUACUCCAGAUUUUGAGAGCGUGUCGAAGAGCUUUGAAUUUUCGGCAAGGGAUUGUGGCAGCAUUUGCGUUCCAAACUGGCCAUUCCCAAACCUCUCUAACUAUGUCCAUAAACCCUGGGUGUAAGGUCCAGUAGGAUUCAAAACGAAAGAGCUUGGAUCGGGGGAUUUUGGUCUCUAUGGUGACAAUGCAAGGGAUGUGAUCAGAAACGGGCUUGCCAAGGGGUUUAACGAGCAUCUUAGGAUAUGUGUUACUCCAAUGCAAGGAUGUGAAGAACCAGUCAAUCUGUUCAAGCAAAGGAUCGGUCUGCAUAUUGCUCCAAGUGUAGGUUCUACCUUUUACCGGAAGCUCAAUCAGUUGCUGCUGACGAAUGAUGUCAUUGAACGUAAUCAUGUCGUGAAUGUUACCCCCAGGUUUAUUAUGAUUGUCUGGAGCUCUCAUGUAGUUAAAGUCGCCCAAAAGUAACCAGUCUUGGUUACGGGGUAUUUGAACAUCGUACAACCAUUGCGUGAAAACAUCCCUGUCUGUACCAGUGCAAGGCCCGUACACGUUAACUAACGUCCAACGUUGAGAGGAUUGCAUGCUAACGAACUCGAUGGCUAGCGCAAAUGGAUCAGAUGAGAGUACUGAACCAGAGAAAACCGAGCUUUUCCAGAUUGUAAGUAACCCCCAGAGGCGCCGCGCGAAGGGACAAAAGCAAAACGAUCAAAUUGUCUAGGAUAGCAAGUUUUAAUAGAAGCAAAAGUAACCUCAGGCAUCUUAGUCUCCUGAAGACAAGUGAUAGCAAAACCACUGGUAGAGAUAGCAUUAUUCAGAGCCAGUCGCUUCUUCUCAGAAUUGAGCCCACGGAUAUUCCAUGAGAGCACAUUCCAGCAGCUCAACGACGUCAUAUAGAACUCCAAUAUUAAGCAGAGGUGUGAGAGAGAUCCUCUCCCUGGUCAUCACUGUCAAUCAAAGAGGCAGAAUAUUCGGGCACGACAGCAGUUUCAGCAAGCAGGGCUUCUUCAGAAAGUUCAGUAGCAGGUAUAGCACAUCUGUUAACUCCAAUGGAUUGUAGAGUAACUAUAGGAGUUGGGGGCGGGACCUCACCAGCAGAAGUAGCAGCAGAUGCUGAUGUGCCAAUAGACGGGAUGACACAGGGCUUAACUUUGGAAUUGUUCUUGCGACUGUCAGAGAGGGGAGGAACCUUGACCGCAUCAUACGUGUUGGAGCGGAGACUGCGACGCACUUCAGUUGUGGAGAUAGGGGCAGCAGCCCUGGUCCUACGGGGGCGCGGGCCAGUGGUGGCCAUAGAAGCAGUUGCCUCUGAGAUCACAGAAGGUUCUGAAGGUGGAAUGUGCACAACUUGUUCUGUGUCCAUUGGGGCGUCUUAAGUGUUGGGCGGCAUGGCGGGCUCAAUGGCGUUUUCCACACUAGCAUGUUCAGAUAGGUCCUCAAUGAUCACAGCGGAGGCAGCCAAAGCAGAAGUAGAGCUUGAUUGCUAGGAAAAGGUCAGACUAGUAGAAUCCUGUGUGAUCAAGACAGACAACUGGACCUGGUUUGUUCUCAGACCAAACCCCUCUCUCCAAGGUCCAAAAGUUGCAAGCAUUGGGCUAACAGCUUGGAAGAUGAAUGUGUUAAGAUUCAGGCGUGGGAUUGGGUCAUUCAGCAGCCUGGAAAGGAUCUCAUCUCCUUGAGCAGAUAAACCAAAUCUGACACCUUGAUCAUUGAUCUCCAGUGUGAUGUUAAGAGAUUCAAAGCUUGCACUGUCAGACAGCUGUAUAGCUGGAUCAGCCGGGAUGAGAAUGUCAGACUGGGUCGAGCUUGAACUGUCAGACUGGGUGAUCGAAUCAUUCCAAGCUUGGAGAGCAUUAUCAGUGACAUUGUUUUCAGGGACUAACCCAUGUUGCACAGUCAGACCCUGCGCAGCAAGCCAGGCUUGGUAGUUCACCAAAUGGAGCGGCAUUUGCGGGAGUGGAGGAGCAGCGGGCGCCUCCCAAGUGCCCCAUCCAGUGUUGUCAUCCACUUGUUGAGCCUCAUUGUUGCCAGCUGCGGGUGCACCAUUCUGAAUGAGCCAAUUGUGAACUUGCUGCUGAUAUAACUGUUCUGCAGUGAGUUCAGGGCCAAACUGUGGAUGUGGGUUGCCAUCGGGGGGUGGCAUUUCCUCAGGUGCAGCAGGUACAUCAGGGAGGAGGCCAUUCCAGUCGUUGCUGCGACGGAUGGUCACUACUACUGUCCAACUGUCGUGCGCACCACCCAGCUGCCAUACCACAAAGCUCUUGGGGAUGAGGCGCAGACUAAGUACUCUGACUUUUAGAAGGAUGAAUCUGCGGUCCUGACGCGGAUUAUACCAGGAAACUAAGGAACCAUAUCCACCCAAGGCCUUAGUGAUGUAAUAGUCCAUUUGGUAGUCAUACGGAAAGCCGAAGAACAUAAUCCAAAUCUCAGGCCCAAACGGUGCAGCUCUACGAUUAAGAGCCGCAUUGUGCGAAACGAAGGUGAUCAACAGAUCUUCAUCUUCAAGCUCAAGCGGUGUGUUGACAACAUUAUCUCUCAUAAAGGAAUCCACAAAACCGAAAAUCCCAACACCAAGGGGGUGAUCACUGACCUCUGUAGUAAAAAGCUGUGAUUCUUGAAACAGAGUUGUGAUCCGAUGGCGGACGGUGGCCCGGCGAUGCAGGGGCACAUACUCACUGGCUUCUGCAAUGGCCAGGAACUCAUGGCUGAGUGGAGCAAUCGAGCCAACGACCAUGCCGCUGUGCACAAGAUGAUCGGCCGGCCCUGGCUCACCCGCAAAACCCGGCGGGAGGAAAGGCACAGGGUUUAGUGGGUAGUUCGCCAUUGUGGUGGAAGGGAUCAGAGGGGAGGACGGUGGUGCAGUGAUGGGAUGUAACUGCAAUGGCGCAAGCUGCAGCAAAGCGUCAGACUGUGGCGAUGGGACUGGACGGGAUGUGGCCCGUUGGGUUCUCGAGGAGGAAGCUGAAGCGUGAAUGGGGGUAGGAGGCAAAGUUGCCUUUGCAACCUCUGUAGAGAGUUAAAACCUAAUCGAUUAGCCGUGUCCCCGGUUACAGACAACUUGAGCAUCUAGUAGUGGAAAUGAUGGGAGAUCUCAUCACUCUUAAUUAAACAGUUGGGUUUUAAAUGAAACAUUGGGAAUGGAUUGAGUUGUGUUUGCCAACUCAUACUAUGCUAUACUGUAGUGAUAGACUAAUAUCUUUUAUUCUAGGGAAAAACUAGCUUUAUGCAAAAACUAAACUUAGAGCUUUCCACCAGCCAAAUUGCAUGUACAAAUAGGUUCAUUAUUCUUAUGAUGUGACUUGCCAGUACAUUCAAUGUACUGACCUAUAGGGCUGCAACGUCUUAUGUUGCAGGAAUUUCUACGACGAGUAAGAAUUAUGUUGUAGGGUUAUGGUCUACACUCAACUUGCCGUUGGCGUUGAUGGGACUCCACACCCGUUCGAUUGUUUCCACUGAGAUUUAUGAGGUAUAUAUCAGUUUUGCAUUAUUUAUACAUUUGAUUGAACUUUGAUAUAUACAUUGAUGUACUGUGUGUGCCAGCAUAUCGAUCCAGGGAUGGCCCGGAUACACAGAGGCUUGACAGUUUGAGCUCGGGUCGCUACAGAGAUGGUAUCAGAGCACAUGUUGACUAUAGGACGUGACCCUAGAAACUGGAAAGCCCUUAGGAAAAGAUUUCUCUAAAAGUUUAUUUUCAAAAAGAUCCUUUACCUCUCUUCUUUUCUGAGCUUUAUCAAAUCUUUCCUUUUACCCCAAAUAGGUAGGCAAUAUCCCUUUUCCCUUUCACCACGCGGAGGAUCAACUGAUGAGACCACUCCAAGAAGGGCAAGAUAUCGGCCAACUGAUGGCCACUUCAAAGUAAAGAGGAUUUCAUCAUGCAUUAGAACAGUUAAUGCUACGACAGUCGAAGACUCGAAGAAUUUGAAGACACUGAAGAAUUCCAAGAUUUAUAUGACCUUUAGAAGACCAAACCCUUGUUGUGUACUCACGUUAGAUGCGAUGAUUUGUGAGCUGUCAUAUUUGGUGUGUGUUUUCCGAUGCAAUAAAUAAAACUUAUUUUCAAAACUAUAUUGUUUGUAUUUUGUGUAUCUUUCUCUAUCCCUCUUAUCUCAUCCCAAAACCCUUGGACCCAAUAGAUGAUGAAUGAAGAUGGACUUGUAUUCUCUGGACCGAUCACUCGGUUAGAGGAAGAGCUAUGGAUUCAAAACAUGGAGAGUCACUUCGAGAGCAAUUUGGUUGCAAGGAAGUAUGAGGUUCAAUAUGCUCUUUAAUACUUUACAAAAAGUGCUACAACAUGGUGGAAAAUGCAUCAAGCCAUACAAGGAUGUAAUGGAGCAAAAACUUGGGAGGAAUUGAAGAAGACUCUAUUGGGAUCCCGUCUUAUCCGGAAGCACGGUGAUAAACUGAUGAAGAAACCUUGUGCCUGCAAGAUAUGUGGAGAAAUAGGACACACCCAUGAAGAACACAAGGAUGGAUGCCCUCAUUAUGAAGGAAAUCACCCAGCAGAAGAGUGCCCAACUAGGCAGGUUACUUGUUUCUUGUGUGAAGGAACUACGCACUACCCUGCCCAGUGUCAUAUUUACCCCAGGGUACAAGAAAUUACCAAGAAGAAGUGGGGUUUGAUCGACAAGAGAUAGAAGAAUUGAUCGGAAUGAAGAAGUCGAGGAAGAGAAAGAGCAUGUAUCCCCAGAACAACCCAGUUUCUACAGAAAAGGACCUGAGUCAUAUCACUUGUUACAGCUGCAAGGAUUUAGCUCAUUAUUCUAGCAAAUGCCCACCAAGGAAGCCAAGAACCCAAGGAGCCAAGAUAACCACCAGGAACCCCUGGAUUUGUCUGACGCCAUUUGUUUACGCUGCAAAGGAGUAGGACAUUUUGUCAGAGAAUGUUCAGACCCGAGGAAAGCUUGAGCAGAGUAGUUGAGAUCUUGAUAUUGGAAUAAAGCAUGUAAUAAAUGUGGAACGCACUUUUAUUUUCGUGGGGGGUGUUGAUACGUCUCCAACGUAUCUAUAAUUUUUGAUUGCUCCAUGCUAUAUUAUCUACUGUUUUGGACUAUAUUGGGCUUUAUUUUCCACUUUUAUAUUAUUUUUGGGACUAACCUAUUAACCGGAGGCCCAGCCCAGAAUUACUGUUUUUUUGCCUAUUUCAGUGUUUUGGAUAAACGGAAUAUCAAACGGAGUCCAAACGGAAUAAAAUCUUCGGGAACGUGAUUUUCUCACCGAACGUGAUCCAUGAGACUUGGACCUUGCUCUAAGGAACAAAAGAGGCGGUCACGAGGGUGGGGGGUGCCCCCCCUAGGGCGCGCCCCCUGCCUCGUGGGCCCCUCGUUGCUCCUUCGGCGUACUUCUUCCUCCUAUAUAUACACAUGUACCCCCAAACGAUCAGAAGAGGAGCCAAAAACCUAAUUCCACCGCCGCAACUUUCUGUAUCAGAAGAGAUCCCAUCUUGGGGCCUGUUCCGGAGCUCUGCCAGAAGAGGGCCGUCAUCACGGAGGGCUUCUACAUCAUCCUAGCCCCUCUGAUGAAGUGUGAGUUGUUUACCUCAGACCUUCGGGUCCAUAGUUAGUAGCUAGAUGGCUUCUUCUCUCUCUUUGAAUCUCAAUACAAAGUUCUCCCCCUCUCUUGUGGAGAUCUAUUCGAUGUAAUCUUCUUUUUGCGGUGUGUUUGUUGAGACCGAUGAAUUGUGGGUUUAUGAUCAAGUCUAUCUAUGAAUAAUAUUUGAAUCUUCUCUGAAUUCUUUUAUGUAUGAUUGGUUAUCUAUGCAACUCUCUUCGAAUUGUCCGUUUGGUUUGGCCAACUAGAUUGGUAGUUCUUGCCAUGGGAGAACUGCUUAGCUUUGGGUUCGAUCUUGUGGUGUCCUUACCUAGUGACAGAAGGGGCAGCAAGGCACGUAUUGUAUCGUUGCCAUCGAGGAUAAAAAGAUGGGGUUUAUUUCAUAUUGCAUGAAUUUAUCUCUCUACAUCAUGUCAUCUUGCUUAAGGCGUUACUCUGUUUUUAACUUAAUACUCUAGAUGCAUGCUGGAUAGCGGUCGAUGAGUGGAGUAAUAGUAGUAGAUGCAGAAUCGUUUCGAUCUACAUGUCACGGACGUGAUGCCUAUAUACAUGAUCAUGCCUAGAUAUUCUCAUAACUAUGCUCAAUUCUGUCAAUUGCUCAAUAGUAAUUUGUUCACCCACCGUAGAAUACUUAUGCUCUUGAGAGAAGCCACUAGUGAAACCUAUGGCCCCCGGGUCUAUUCUCAUCAUAUCAAUCUCCAUCACUUUAAAUCUUGCUUUGUUUUUACUUUGCUUUUACUUUUUAAUUUGCAUCUUUAUACCAAAAAUACCAAAAAUAUUAUAUCUAUCAGAUCUCAUUCUCGUAAGUGACCGUGAAGGGCUUGACAACCCCUAAUCGCGUUGGUUGCGAGUAGCUAUCGCUUUGUGCAGGUACGAGGGACUUGAGCGUGGGCUCCUACUGGAUUGAUACCUUGGUUCUCAAAAACUGAGGGAAAUACUUACGCUACUGUGCUGCAUCAUCCCUUCGUCUUCGGGGAAAACCAACGCUAGCUCAAGAUGUAGCAGGUGUUGAGUUGAGUUACCGAAUGGAAAUUGUAAUAGCUCAUGAAGCAAUAAAAAUUGAGGUGUUUGGAAUCUCAUAUGAAAUGUUAUGAGUUGUUUGUUGAUUGUGAGUGCCUCUCUCACUAUGUCACCCAGACAUAAACCUUGAACCCAUGGACAAGCUGACCCCAAAACCUUCACUAAAAAAACGACAUUUCACCCAAGGAAAUACAUGCAUUAUCCUAAGUACCCCUUCUAUCUUAUACCUGCAGAUGGCAACCCUUUACGAGUCUUUUCUCAAGGGCCCAGAAACGAUCAUGACCCUAACUAGUGAUCAGGAUUACCCAAAGAUCCUCAAGGACAUGAUGAAGCAUAUUCAUCUUGAAGGAGAUGCAGUCUACAAGGGUUAUCCUUUCAUGGAGAAUGGAGUUGAACUUUGGUACGUGGAGGUACACCUCCACCGUGUGAAGGGAGUUUUCCCAAAGAGUAUGGGGCAAUACUUUUUCAUUUCUCGAGUACCCCGAGCAACAUUCUUCGACUCUGUUCGUGAAACUGCUAUGGAAGCCAUACGUCAGAUUGGAGAAAUACUUGAAGCCAGACUUCGUUAUACUCAGGAAUACCCGAGGGAGGUGCAUGCAGAGAUGAUGGAGAUGAAGCUCAUGGCCACCAUGAUGAAGCAAAAGGUCGAUGAUUUCAAGGACCACAUUGUACAAUUCCAGUGGGACUAAAUUAUCUUCAAGAAGGGCAAAUGAAUAAAGAUGGAAGUAAUGCUUGACCAUAGCAAACUAUGUGGAUGGCAGCUUUUUGUAAUAGAGUACUUUUGAAAUUUGAGUUUUGAGUAGUGGUUAAGGAUGUAAUAAAGGAUUUGAUAUGAAGAGAAUUAUGGAUGAACCAGUGCAUUUUUUGGCGAUACCUGUCUGUGCGAACACUUGACCAAUGGAAAAGGAAAUGUAUGCCAUAGAGUGAAGUUUGGACAAAUGAGUUGGAGUUUGGUUUUAGUUAUGAUGGUUACCCCAAGAGUAUGAAGGAAUGAAGUACUAUUGGAUUUAAAGGAGAUGUAAUGUUGGAAUAUGGAACAAUAGUAACUCCAAGGAUGAGUUAAAGAUAUACAAGUGUUGAAGUGGGCCAUAACCCACAGGACCCAGGAUUUGAUAAGGAAACAAGCACAAUCUUGUUGAAGAAAAUAAUUCUGAAAGAAGCCAUGAUUUCAUCAGCAUACGUUUCAUAGGAGGUUACAUAAACCCAGGAGUUGUGAAUAAACGAUAGAGGUUUUCUUUGGCUUGCAGAACCAAUGGAUUUAUCCGAACCCAGUUCGUGGAGAAGAGAAGUUCUGCAAUGCUUGUGAGGAUGCCCAAGGGCUAGAAUGCGUGAUUCACUAUCUGCGUAUGUGGUAAUGAUUCAAGUACGACAUGGAUUGGCCCCCAUACCGGAGACUUCUAUCAUGAGCUAUCAUAUGAUUGAUAGAAAAUCAGAGAGCCUUAAAACCCUAGAAGAGUGUCGACACGACAAGCCAAAAGCCUUAGAAUGGCAGGAUGAUGGAAACCCUGUACAAGCACCUAUUGCCAACCGUAGGUUAUGCGGUGAGGUUCAACCCAGACCCAUUUCCUGUAGGAGGAACCAGAAAUUGUCGACCACCAUGAGGUUUUCGAUAGUUGUUUAGCAUUGGCGCCAGACCUGUCAAGUCUCAGAAGGAUCCUAUUUUGAUGCAAGGAAUCCUGAUAUUGAUGAAAAGGCCAUGCCCUUACCAGAAGAGCAAAAGUGAAGGGGUUAUCUCAGAGAAUAUGAGAAGACCGACACCGUCAACGCAAAGGAUGGAGUUCAUGAGUUUUAUUGGAACUGUAACCAUGCUUCUAAGGGUGGUAGCACCCCAUUUCUUGUGUUGAUGAAUGGAUUUUCAAGGAGAACCCCCAAACCUAACAUUCUCUCUAGCCUCUUCGAAUCUCGAGGACGAUAUUCAUUUUAAGGGUGGUAGUUUGUAACAUCCCAAAAUUCUAAAAUUUGGAAUGUUAUGUUAAAUAAUUAAUUAUGAUUGUUUGUUUGUUGUGUGAUUGAUUGUGUGAAAAUGAUUGGAAAUUGAAAACUUUUUGAAAGUGGAAAGAGAGGGAAUAAAAGGACUUUCCCGAAACUUUUCAUCUUGCAUUUUGAUCUUCCUGAAUUCAAAUUCAUUUCAUCAUAAAACCCUAGAGUGAAGAUAAUAUAACUUCUUCCAUUUAAAGAAAUGAAAAAAGGGGUUUGAAAAUGAUUUGAAUUCCAUUUGAAAAAUUUUAAAUUUAGAAACUUUAAGCAACUCAAUGAGUACAUGAGGGAAGAUAAAAUGACUUCUUCAGAUCGAUGGAAGAGAGUUGGAAGUUUCAAAGGAAUAAUUUGAAGUCACUUUGAAGUUAUUUAAAACUCAUUUUUCCAUUUGAAGUUGUUUGAAAUUCCAAAUUUCUAAUCCUCUUGGGAGUUAUUUAGUUUUAAUUCAAAUUAUUUUUCCCCUAAAAAUAAAUAGAUGGGAAUAAGGGUAAAUUGAUUCCCUUCAAUAGAAAAUUAGGAGAAAUAUAUCUGAAAUCAUUUUCCUAUUUUAAAAAUGAUUUUUAUUGAUUUUAAAUGCAAUAGUAGCACUGUUUGAAUUUUAUGAAUUUUUAUGGAAUUUCGUUGAACUUGAAAAAUAAUUCAUCUUAUUGCUGCUAUUUUUCUGAGCAUUUUGGUAUAUAAUAUUCCUACAUAAUUUUUUUAGUUAUUUUCCUAUGUUGAAGUUUUUGUUUCUACAAAAAAAAACAUGCGCCCGCCAGCCGGCCCAGGGCCUUCGGCCCAAGAGCCAGCCAGCAUACCGAGCCGGCCCAGCAGCGCCCCAGGCCGCCCGAGGCCUUACGCCUCGCUCGCCCGCGCCCCUCUUCCCUCGCUCGCUCUCUCCCACUGCCGCUGCCAGUGGGGCCCGCAACCCUCCGUCCCUAACCUCCCGCUCCUCCCAUUCAGAUAGGGCACGCGCGUGCUGCCCGCAACUGCCGGCAGCUCCGCUCGGGAUAGAGCUCAUCCGCAGUCUCCGCAGCCUCUUCUUGCACCUAUAAAUUCCCCCGACUCCCCUCGUUCGAUUCUGCAAUUCCGCAACGAUCCACGCCGCUCACAGCCGCCGCCUUCGUCGUUUGGAUCUUGCCCGCCGGAGCUACCUUGCCGGUCCGUUCCAUCGUCCGUAAGACUUCCUCGACCCCGUUCUUCUUUGUCAAUUGACUCCCCGCGUCGAGGCGCAUCUGAUUGACAAAAAUUUGCCGCCUAGGUCGUACCAGAGACGUCGCCCCGACGCGCCGUGCUCUUGCCGAAGCACCGGAGCUCCGCCGCCACCCUCCGCUCGUCGCUGGCCACCCCACCGCCCGCCGACCCCACCAGCACGCCGCCCACGCCGCGCCUGACCUCCCCGACCCCUUCGUCGCCGCUGAGGACCACCAGAGACGCCGCCCUGUCCGCCGUCCGCCGCCUGACGCCAGCGGCACCGCACCUGUUCGCCGUCCUCGCUCGCUAUGAGCCGCUGAUCCUCGCUCAUUUUUUGUUGUUGUUGUUGUAUUAGAUCGGGUAACCGUGGUUUUAUUAAACCGUGCGGUUUAGUAAAAAACCGGUCUCCGGUUGUCUUUUUAUUUAGCCACGGUAGCCGUUUUAUUUAUUCAGUGGCCGUCCGCCGUUUAGCCUGAGCCGCGAACGCUGCUCAGCCACCCGGAAGCCGCCACGUGGCCAGGGACCUAGUCGUGAAUAAAACUUUCAUAGUUAAGUCCCUGAGUUUCCAAUUUAGCCCCUAAACUUCGAAUGGUUGUAUCUUUUUAACCGUAGCUCCAAAUUCGACGAAACCAGUGGCAAGAUGUUCGUCUUGAUUAGUUUUAUCCAGAGAACCAACUUUGAAAACUUUUGGCCAAAUUCAAAUUUGAACUUUAUUCAGAUUUGAAUUCAAACUUCAACUGGCCAUAUCUCUUAAACCGUAGCUCCGAUUGGUGUGAUUCUUUUUGCAACGUGUCAUCAUAGCCAAACCCUACCACCUGGACCUUGUCACAAUACUUUUCACACAACUAGAAUCUGUCUAUGAUAGUUUUACUAUUAUGCCAUGCAUGCACUUUAGUACACAUCAUAGUUUUGAACCCCAUGUCACAAGUUGUUUUGCACUUAGGAUAUUUCCAUGCUAGUUAACUGUGUUGAAUGUUCAUUUGGUUUUUCUGAGACUUUGUGCUUUGCAUGUUCUUCUUGGUUCUCUGAAAUGAUUGCUGAGAGUGACGAAUAGUUCUAUGAAGUAAAUUUCUGAGAGUGGUAUAAUCUUCAUCAACUAUUACCAGGCAAGUUCACAUUUGACCAUUUUUCCAAUUACCUAUGUUUAUAUUAUGCACUUAGUCCUUUUGUGGUAGGAUUGCAUGGUAGGAUUUAUUGUUACCAGAUGGCUAUGCCGUUACCUAGUAGUUCAUUUGAGGUAGGUAUGAUCUAUACAUCCUUGUCACCACCGUGUAAGUUUAUUUUUGCCUCGCUAAAUGUAGACGUGGUUUGGGAAGCGAACAUGGCGAGACAUGAGUGACAAAGUAGUAAUCAAGAUCAAGACUUGUAAAUGAACUACCUGGGCGGUAUUUGGUUUGAAUGGUGGCGAAGUACAGUGGGAGCAUGCAUGGUUAAUCCAUGGUGGUGCACCACUAGUGGUUGGCCGCUCAGGCUCAAAGAGAUGAAUCGUAUUCUCAUGUCUAGAAGCUUAUGUGUGCAGCCACAAGCCAAUAUGGGCUCUGGCUUAGUUGAGUAGUUAGUGUGACCCCUUCCGGGAUGGGCUAGCAGAUGUAGAAUGAUGUAGGUGUACCGGCCUAUCCCUGGGUUAAGGGGGAACAUUUUAGAAAGACUAUGUCUCGGUCAUCCUGUUCUCAAACGCCAGGCAGUGCGAGAACUCCAGGGGAGGCGAUCGAGUCUUGUGGGGAAAAGUGCGCAAACCUCUGCAGAGUGUUAAAAUCUAAUCGAUUAGCCGUGUCACCGGUUACGGACAACUUGAGAAUCUAGUAGUGGAAAUGCUGGGAGAUCUCAUCACUCUUAAUUAAACAGUUGGGUUUUAAAUGAAACUUUGGGAAUGGAUUGAGUUGGGUUUGCCAACUCAUCCUAUGCUAUACUAUAGUGAUAGACUAAUAUCUUUUAUUCUAGGGAAAAACUAGCUUUAUGCAAAAACUAAACUUAGGGCUUUCCACCAGCCAAAUUGCAUGUACAAAUAGGUUCAUUAUUCUUAUGAUGUGAAUUACCAGUACAUUCAAUGUACUGACCUACAGGGCUGCAACGUCUUAUGUUGCAGGAAUUUCUAAGACGAGUAAGAAUUACGUGGUAGGGUUACGGUCUACACUCAACUUGCCAUUGGCGUUGAUGGGACUCUGCGCCCAUUCGAUUGUUUCCCUGAGAUUUAUGAGGUAUAUAUCAGUUUUACGUUAUUUAUACAUGUGAUUGAACUUUGAUAUAUACAUUGAUGUACUGUGUGUGCCAGCAUACCGAUCCAGGGAUGGCACGGAUACACAGAGGCUUGACCGUUUGAGGUCGGGUUGCUACAGCAAAUCAGCUAGAUCUUUCAAGGCAAACUCUGAGAUCAAAUCAUGCAGAAUGGCAUUAGUAGCACUUUGUGAUGAACUUGCAACUAUGAUGCAUCCACAUAUAUGAGAACAAAGAUAACUACUUUUCCCUUGUUAUAAAUGAACAAAGAUGUAUCAGCUUGGAAGCACUAAAACCAAGACAUUUCAAUUGAGAGCUCAACCUGGAGUACCAUGCUUUAGGUGCUUGUUUCAAGCUAUAGAGUGCUUUGUCAAGCUUGCACACAUAAUGUGGUGUUUUCUUACUCUCAUAUCCUGGUGGUUGUCUCAUGAAUACCUCCUCUUCCAGAACACCAUGUAAAAACGCAUUCUGUACAUCUAGCUAUCUCAAGCUCGAUCCCUUGGAUACAGCACUAGCUAACACAAAUCUUAUAGUUGCAGCUUUUACAACCGGACUGAAGGUAUCCUCAUAGUCUAUGCCAUAGCGUUGUUUAAAGCCCUUUGCAACUAGACGUGCCUUAUAUCUGUCAAUGGAGCCAUCUGCUUUCUUUUUAAUUCUAUACACCCACUUGCAAUCAAUAAUAUUUUUACCUCUCUUAUCAGGCACAAGAUGCCAAGUUUUGUUCCUCAUAAGUGCAGAAUAUUCCUCAUCCAUUGCUUUCUUCCAUUUAGGGUCACCAAGUGCAUCAUUCAGUGUCAUUGCUUCCCCUGAAAUACAUAGCAUGCCAUACCGUAUAGUACCAUCAGUUUGUAUUUUGGGAUUAUGGAUACCUUUUUGUAACCUGGUCAUAACUCGCAAGGGAGCUUCUUGUUGCAUGUGUACAGGAACAAGAUCCAUUGGCGCAGAAGAUCCACCUCUUGCUACUGAAUCUGCUGGUGAUGCAGAAGAUCCAUCGGACACUGGCGCAGAAGAUCCACUGGACCUUGGUGUGGCCCCCCUGCCACUGGACGCCCAGGAAACCACAUGGCUUCCAGGCAUAGACGAUCCGCUGCCAGGUUGCAUGUGCGCGGGACGCGAGGAGGAGCCGACCGCGCGACUGGUCCCACUGGGCCCACUAUCGGGUGACGCGUCGGCGUGGGAGUGGCCCUCCCAGGAAUCUGGGCCGCUGCCACCUUGUACGCGAUCCAAGAAAGAUCUGUGCGCACGAUCCGAGGCCUGCAAGAGCGCAGGAGUACCAAGGAAUUCAACUGAUAUGAUUACUCUACUUAUUGAUGUGCAAUAAUGUAAUAUGACUAUUAAGAAGCAUUCUAACUGUGGAGGUGGUUUCACACUUCUUACUACAACAAAGGUGAUUGAAGGAUUCCUCGGCAGAAACUAGAACGCACACCUUCAAUAAUUGACGAGCUAAUUGGUUGUUGAACUUCAUGUUGAAGAUAUCUCAUGUAGGCCCAGGCCGGCGCAUAUAGUUAGUUGAGGAGUUGGUUAGCUUAGAGAUAGACUAUCAUCUAAUUAAACUUUUGUAUCUCUAUCUCCUAAUCUCUUGUACUCCAAGUUAUGUAUGCGUACAUGGGAUAAGCCUCAUCUCAAUCAAUAAAUACCCGCGGCCCUCUCUCGUGGAGGGUAGAACGCUUCCGAUAUAUUUCCUAUAUGGUCAUCAGAGCUUUCUCUUCUCGUCCAAAAACCAGAAAACCUAGAUUGCCAUCCUUCCCACCAUGUCAUCCUCCUCCAACCCCCCGACUCUCUCUGGUCUUGGUUACCAAAUCAGUGAGAAGCUCACCGCUGAGAACUACCUGCUGUGGAAGGCACAUAUCCUCCAGCACUUCCUUGGUGCCGGGCUCUAUGGCUAUCUAGACGACAACAUCGUCGAACCAGAGAAGCUCAUGGUCGCGAAGGACAAGGAUGGAAAGGAUCAAGCGGUCCCCAAUCCGGCGCAUGAUUCUUGGGUGCGGCAGGACCAACAGGUCCUUGGCCACAUCAUCAACAAUCUCUCGAUGGAGGUGCUGGUCUCGGUCGUCUCCAUUGGCGUGAGCUCUCUGGACAUCGAUGCGUAACAUGUUUGCUUCACAAUCUCAUUACCGCAUUAAUAAUAUCCAGAUUUCCCUGUCCAGUGCCUAAAAGGGCAAUCAGCGUCGGCAUACUUUGCUCGGAUGCGCAGAUAUGCUGAUGAACUUGCUGCUACCGGGAGACCUCUGCAAGAGGAUGAGCUCACCUCCUUCCUCCUGGCUGGGCUGGACCUCGACUACAACCCCCUUAUCUCAGCCCUCGACGACCGGACGGAUCCUAUCACCAUCGAUGACUUAUACUCACAGGUCUACAACUUUGAUCAGCGGGUGUCGCUGCUCAUGGGAGGCGUGGGCUUCAAGUCCUCUGCAAACUCUGCCCAGCAUGGUGGGCCACCUCCAUCUCGAGGCUUUGGAAAGCCGAGGGAUCAGAAGAAGCAAGGUGGUGGCGGCGGCUACAAGAAGAAACAAGGUGGCGGUGGGCAUCCCUACUACAUCAACACCAAGGGAGCUCGCUCUGGUGCCCCUGGAGGGCCAGGAGGUCUAGGAGGCCUCGAUGGUCCUCCACCCGCCAACAACCACAAGGGGAACGACCCCAUCCAGUGCCAGAUAUGCAUCAAGUUCGGGCACAGCACCAAGGACUGCUGGUAUCAUUUUGAUGAUGAUGCCCUUGAAUAAAAAGUUGUUGCUGCCACCCAGUAUGGGGUGGAUACAAAGUGGUAUGUUGACAGCGAUGCAACCGGUCAUCUCAUCGGCGAACUAGAGAAGUUGACAGUCCGCGACAAGUAUCGUGGGCAGGGUGAAAUCCAUGGCGCAAACAGAUCAGGUAUGAGGAUAGAUCAUGUUGGUCAUUCAGUUUUUCAAACCCCUAACCGUCCCAUCCAUCUUAAAAGAAUUUUACAUUAUCCUCAUGCCCAAACCAGUCUUCUUUCUGUAAAUCAUAUUGCCUUGGAAAAUCAAGUAUUUCUUGAAUUUCACCCCUUCUACUUUUCGAUCAAGGACCAGGCAACGAGGAGAAUCCUCUACAUAUGUAGAUGCAUUGGUGGGCUCUAUCCAUUGAUUCCUCGCUUUAGGAGUUCAAAUAAACAAGUUCUUGGUCUCACCAAAUUAUCUUCGGCAAGGUGGCACGAUCGAUUUGGGCAUCCUUCUUUUGCUAUAGUUCAACGAGUGCUUAGGAAAAAUAAGCUCCCUUUUGUUGGUGAGCCUAGUAGUGAAAAAAAUUGUGAUUCAUGUCAACGAGAAAAAAGUCAUCAACACCCUUCCCCUGUGUCAACUAGCGUUUCUUCCAAACCAUUAGAACUAUUUUUUUUCUGAUGUAUGGGGCAAGCAGCUCUUUCUGUUGGGAGACACAAGUAUUAUGUAAACUUUAUUGAUGAUUAUAGUAAGCAUACUUGGAUCUACCUUAUCAAGCAUAAAUCUGAUGUGUUUCAAGUAUUCCAAAAUUUCCAAGCACUUGUUGAACGAAAAUUCUCUAGCAAAAUAAUCUCUGUCCAAUCGGACUGGGGUGGCGAGUAUGAAAAAUUAAACUCGUUCUUUCAAAAACUGGGAAUUUCCCAUCAUGUCUCUUGUCCCCAUGCGCACCAACAGAAUGGUUCUGCAGAACGCAAGCAUAGACAUAUUGUCAAAGUUGGUCUUUCUCCUUGCUAAUGCAUCCAUGCCAUCGAAGUUUUGGGAUGAAGCAUUCAUCACUGCUACACAUCUCAUUAAUAUGUUGCUAAGCAGGGUUAUCAAUUUUGAAACACCCACCGUGUUGGGGAACGCAGUAUUUAAAAAAAAAUUCCUACGAUCACGCAAGAUUUAUCUAGGAGAUGCAUAGCAAGGAGAGGGGAGAGUGUGUCCACGUAUCCUCGUAGACCGAAAGCGGAGGCAUUUAGUAAUGCGGUUGAUGUAGUCGAACGUCUUUGCGAUCCAACCGAUCAAGUACCAAACGCACAGCACCUCCGCGAUCUGCACACGUUCAGCUCGGUGACGUCCCUCGUACUCUUGAUCCAGUUGAGGCCGAGGGUGAGUUGCGUCAGCAUGAUGGUGUGUUGAUGGUUAUGAUGAAGUUACCAAUGCAAGGAUUCGCCUAAGCACUACGACAAUAUGACCGAGGUGGAAAACUGUGGAGGGGGGCACCGCAACGGUUAAAGAUCAACUCUUGUGUCUAUGAGGUGUCCCCCUCCCCCAUAUAUAAAGGAGGGGAGGAGGAGGAGGGCCGGCCUCAAGGGGCGCUCCCAAGGGGGGGAUUCCUACUCCUAGUAGGAGUAGGUUUCCCCUUUCCUAGUCCAAGUAGGAGAAGAAGGAAGGAGAGGAAGAAGAGAAGGAAAGGGGGCCCGCCCCCCUUAGCCCUAGUCCAAUUCGGUUUGGGCUACGGGAGGCGCGCGCCACCUCUUGGCCUACCUCCUCUCUUCCACCACUAGGCCCAUAAGGCCCAAUAACUUCCCGACGGGGGUUUCGGUAACCCCCAGUACUCCGAAACUUAUCCGAAAUGACCCGAACCAUCCCAGUGUCCAAAUGUAACCUUCCAAUAUAUGAAUCUUUAUGUCUCGACAAUUUCGAGACUCCUCGUCAUGUCCAUCAUCUCAUCCGGGAUUCCUAAAAACCUUCGGUACAUCAAAUCACAUAACUCAUAAUACAUAUCAUCAUCGAACGUUAAGCAUACGGACCCUGCGGGUUCGAGAACUAUGUAGACAUGACCGAGACUCAUCUCCGAUCAAUAACCAAUAGCGGAACCUAGUUGCUCAUAUUGGUUCCUACAUAUUCUACGAAGAUCUUUAUCAGUCAAACCGCAUAACAACGUACAUUGUUGCCUUUGUCAUCGGUAUGUUACUUGCCCGAGAUUCGAUCGUCGGUAUCAUCAUACCUAGUUCAAUCUUGUUACCGGCAAGUCUCUUUACUCGUUCCGUAAUGCUCAUCCCGUGACUAACUCAUUAGUCACAUUGCUUGCAACGCUCAUAGUGAUGUGCAUUACCGAGAGGGCCCAGAUAUACAUCUCCGAUACACAGAGUGACAAAUGCUAAUCUCUAUCUAUGCCAACUCAACAAACACCAUCGGAGACACCUGUAGAGCAUCUUUAUAAUCACCCAGUUACGUUGUGACGUUUGAUAGGACACAAGGUGUUCCUCCGGUAUUCGGGACUUGCAUAAUCUCAUAGUCUGAGGACCAUGUAUAAGUCAUGAAAAAAUAAUAGCAAUAAACUAAAUGAUCAUACUGCUAAGCUAACGGAUAGGUCUUGUCCAUCACAUCUAAAUGGUUUUUUCUUUUCUUGAUUAAUACUCCCUCCGUCCCAUAAUAUAAGACAUUUUUUGACAUUACACUAGAGUCAAAAAACGUCUUACAUUAUAGGACAGAGGGAGUAGUAUUUGUUUUUGGAUGCUUGCAGGUGUUGGAAGAGAACUACUAGGUUGUUGUCCAAGUCACUUCUCACAAAUGUGUGACGCCUGCCCCCACGUGUGAGCCAGCGCAGCCGAAGGCGGCGCACUAACAACGAAACCUAACAAAUUAACUGGCCACACGUGCCAGCCGGUUCCCACGGGUGCGAUGCAUGCCCCCACUUGCAAGCCAGAGGGCGGCCCUACGGACGAGCCGGCAUAGGUGUACAUGAUGCACGCACUAUCUGUUGCGACCGGACCAGCUCGGCGCAUUGCCAGCGGAUGCCAACGGCAAAAUUUCGUGUUUUGACCCUUUUCUGAAACCUAUUAAAGAUCUGACCCUAGGCAGCAGAAGACAUCCUUCAAAUUGAUCACAAUCUUCUUACCCCAACUGAGACCGAGGCUUUCAAGAUGAUUGAGUUAUCCCGUAUACAAAACAAGUAUGUCACACGUGAAAAUAUUUUGUUGAAGGAGCAUAUCAUCGCACUCAAGGGCAUUAUCCGCAAGUUGGAGGACCUCCUACGCUCGAUGUGCGACUAUCCAUCAUCAACAACUCCACCUUCUUCAUAAACAAAGAAGAACUGAGUAUCUGGUAUGGGCACUCCACUUGGCAACUGCCAAGCUUGGGGGAGUGCCCCGGUAUCGUAUCACCAUCACUUCUAUCUUUACCGUUUUCCUUAGUUCGAUCCUUUUGAUAAUAUUUUGAUCUAGUAGAAUAAAACUUCUUAGUAUGAUCUAGUUGUGAGUUUUGCUUUAUGAUCCUUCUAUGUAAUCGAGUCCGUGAGCUAUAUAUAAUAAAGAUUAGUGUUGAGUCAAGGACUUGAUUAUUUUGCCAUAAUCUUGAGUGAAUAAAAGAAAAGAGAAGAAAUAAAAAGAAACAAAGAGAUCAUAUGGAUCUUAUGGAGAGUAAUGAGCUCACAUAGAAAGAGUAUGAUGAAUAAAAGUUGUUGAGAGUUGACAAACAUAGUUUUGGUCAUCGUUGCAAUUAAUAGGAAGUAAUAAAGAAAGAGAGGUCUUCACAUAUAAAUACACUAUCUUGGACAUCUUUUAUGAUUGUGAGCACUCAUUAAAAUAUGACAUGCUAAAGAGUUGACGUUGGACAAGGAAGACAAUGUAAUGGGUUAUGUUUUCUUACAUCUGAGAUAAAUUAUAUUGUCAUGGAUCAUCCAACAUGAUUGAGCUUGCUUUUCCCCCUCAUGCUAGCCAAAUUCUUUGCACCAAGUAGAGAUACUACUUGUGCUUCCAAACACCCCUAAACCAAUUUUUCCAUGAGUGUCCACCAUACCUACCUAUGGAUUGAGUAAGAUCCCUCAAGUAAGUUGUCAUCAGUGCAAGUAAUAAAAAUUGCCCUCUAAAUAUGUAUGACUUAUUAGUGUGGGAGAAAAUAAGCUUUAUAUGAUCGUAUGAUAUGGAAUAAAUAAAAGCGGCGGACUGCAUAAUAAAGGUCCAUAUCACAAGUGGCAAUAUAAAGUGACGUUCUUUCGCAUUAAGAUUUUGUGCAUCCAACCAUAAAAAUGCAUGACAACCUCUACAUCCCUCUGUGAAGGGCCUAUCUUUUUCUUUUAUCUCCUACCUUGCAUAAGAGUCAUGGUGAUCUUCACCCUUCCUUUGUACAUUUUAUCUUUUGGCAAGCACAACAUGUUGGAAAGAUCCUGGUAUAUCUGGCUAAUUGGAUGUGAAUUUUCAUGAACUAUUAUUGUUGACAUUACCCUUGAGGUAAAACGUUGGGAGGCAAAACUAUAAGCCCCUAUCUUUCUCUGUGUCCGAUUAAAACUCCAUACCCAUAAGUAUUGCGUGAGUGUUAGCAAUUGUGGAAGACUAUAUGAUAGUUGAGUAUGUGUACUUGCUGAAAAGCUCUUAUAUUGACUCUUUCCUAUGUUAUGAUAAAUUGCAAUUGCUCCAAUGACUGAGAUUAUAGUUUGUUAGUUUUCAAUGAAGUUUGUGAUUCAUACUUGAAAUUGUGAUUGAAUUGUUACUCUAGCAUAAGAGAUCAUAUGACAAGAAUUAUAUAAGUUGUUGUUUUAAGAAUGAUCAUAAUGCCCUCAUGUACGUAUUUUAUUUUUAUCGACACCUCUAUCUCUAAACAUGUGGACAUAUUUUUCGAUUUCGGCUUUCGCUUGAGGACAAGCGAGGUCUAAGCUUGGGGGAGUUGAUAUGUCCAUUUUGCAUCAUGCUUUUAUAUCCAUAUUUAUUGCAUUAUGGGCUGUUAUUACACAUUAUGUCACAAUACUUAUGCCUAUUCUCUCUUAUUUUACAUGGUUUACAUAAAGAGGGAGAAUGUCGGCAGCUGGGAUUCUGGGCUGGAAAAGGAGCAAAUAUUAGAGACCUAUAGUACACAGCUCCAAAAGUCCUGAAACUUCACGGAAGUCAUUUUUAGAAUAUAUAAAAAAUAUUGAGCGCAAGAAGUUCCAGAGGGGGCCCACACCCUGGCCACGAGGGUGGGGGCCAGCCCUACCCCCCUGGGUGCGCCCCCUGCCUCGUGGGCCACCUGGUGGCCCUCCGAUGCCCAUCUUCUGCUAUAUGGAGUCCUUCGAUGAGAAAAAAAUGAUAAGCAAGCUUUCGGGAUGAGACUCCGCCACCACUAGGCGGAACCUUGGCGGAACCAAUCUAGGGCUCUGGCGUAGCUAUUCUGCCGGGGAAACUUCCCUCUGGGAGGGGGAAAUCAUCGCCAUCGUCAUCACCAAUGAUCUUCUCAUUGGGAGGGGGUCAAUCUCUAAGUCUGGGAUUGGUACCCGUGGGUUGCUAGUAGUGUUGAUUACUCCUUGUAGUUUAUGCUAGUUGGUUUAUUUGGUGGAAGAUCAUAUGUUCAGAUCCUAUAUGCAUAUUAAUAUCCCUCUGGUUAUGAACAUGAAUAUGCUUUGUGAGUAGUUACGUUUGUUCCUGAGGACAUAGGAGAAGUCCUGCUAUUAGUAGUCAUGUGAAUUUGGUAUUCGUUCGAUAUUUUGAUGAGAUGUAUGUUAUCUCUCCUCUAGUGGUGUUAUCACUACAAAAAAAGACACAUCCGUGACAUUUUGGGCCGAACGAUAUUUUUUCUGUCAUACAUAUGACACUUCUAUGACGAUAAUUGUGACAAAACCCGGUAUCAUCAUAGAUGUGAUGGGAUCCUACGUCUAUGACAAAAAAUCAUGACAGAAAAUGGGCUUUUCGUCCGGGGCGGGCCAGAGACGCAGCUGCAUGACAUUCUUUGGGCCAUCCAUGAUGGAAAAAACCGUGGUAGAAGCGAGGGGGAGGAAAAUUUCGGGGAGUUCCCGGUUACGGUGGGAGGUCGGGGGCCGAGCGAUGCGCGUUUCUCUCGUACACGUACGCACGUGUGUGCGAGGCGUUGGCUCUAACUGAACCCGAGCGAUUGCACUGCAGGCUACGCAUUAUUGAACCCGAGCGAUCGAUCGAUGGAUGUUAACUGAACCCGAUCGAGCGAUUCCUUCGCUACUGCUGCUAAUUNNNNNNNNNNNNNNNNNNNNNNNNNNNNNNNNNNNNNNNNNNNNNNNNNNNNNNNNNNNNNNNNNNNNNNNNNNNNNNNNNNNNNNNNNNNNNNNNNNNNNNNNNNNNNNNNNNNNNNNNNNNNNNNNNNNNNNNNNNNNNNNNNNNNNNNNNNNNNNNNNNNNNNNNNNNNNNNNNNNNNNNNNNNNNNNNNNNNNNNNNNNNNNNNNNNNNNNNNNNNNNNNNNNNNNNNNNNNNNNNNNNNNNNNNNNNNNNNNNNNNNNNNNNNNNNNNNNNNNNNNNNNNNNNNNNNNNNNNNNNNNNNNNNNNNNNNNNNNNNNNNNNNNNNNNNNNNNNNNNNNNNNNNNNNNNNNNNNNNNNNNNNNNNNNNNNNNNNNNNNNNNNNNNNNNNNNNNNNNNNNNNNNNNNNNNNNNNNNNNNNNNNNNNNNNNNNNNNNNNNNNNNNNNNNNNNNNNNNNNNNNNNNNNNNNNNNNNNNNNNNNNNNNNNNNNNNNNNNNNNNNNNNNNNNNNNNNNNNNNNNNNNNNNNNNNNNNNNNNNNNNNNNNNNNNNNNNNNNNNNNNNNNNNNNNNNNNNNNNNNNNNNNNNNNNNNNNNNNNNNNNNNNNNNNNNNNNGUGGAGGGGUGCCCGUGGAGGGGUGGUUGAACUGGACCCCGUGGUGUGGAGGGCUGGAUGAACAGUAGACGGUGGAGGGGUGGUUGAACAGUAGCCGGUGGAGUAACGCGCGGUGGAGGCUGGAUGAACAGGAGCCCGUGGAGGCUGGAGGAGGUCGACGGUGGAGAUGAACAGUAUCCCGUGGAGUCCCGUUUUGCGGUACGCCACACCCCUCCCAGUAAACAGGACCCCCGUUUCGACCGUAGCGCUCCAACACAAGUCAGUUUCCUCCAUUUUGCGGUACGCCACACCCCUCCCGAUCAACAGGACCCCCGUUUCAACCGUAGGAGGUCCGUUUCCUCCGUUUUGCGGUACGCCACACCCCUCCCGAUGAACAUGAUCCCGUUUCGAACAUGGCCAGUCGAACACAAGGCCGUUUCCUCCAUUCUGCGGUACGCCAGGCCUCGUUUCCAUCGCCUAUUCCGUCCAAGCCCUCCCGAUGAACACAACGCAUUCCGUUGCCUCCCCAUGAACACGACGCAUUUUGUUGCCUCCCCAUGAACACGACACAUUUCGUUGCCUCCCCAUGAACACGACGACGACGCUGUUUCUCAGUUCCGACCCAGCCUUGUACAUGAGCCCUCGUCGUACGUAUGCGCGAGUAGGCAUUCGAGACCCCGCCCGUAUGUACACAUACGUGGCCGUAUUUUCUUUCUUGCACCCUGACCGCUGUACAUACGUGUACAUGCUACGUGCGCGCCUCUACUACGACACAUGCGCGCCUCGACAUCGACCAGUAUAUAUGUACGUACACGUUCGCGACCAGAAUGACAACGCUACGUACGCUUCGACCAGGUAGGUCCCGACUGCCAGGCACUUCCUUGCAUGCGAAGAUGUAGCUGGUGGGUCCCAGCAGUCAAGGCACUACUAGGGACAAGCCUAUACACAGAAUCUUACCAGCAGCGCGCUUUAAAAUCAGGCGCUGCUGCUAAGUAGCAGUAGCGCAGGUUUUUAACCCUCGCUACUACUAAGUUGAUAGCAGUAGCGCUGGUUUUUUAGCCUCGCUACUACUAAGCGGUCACUACCGUGCCCCUCGGGACAUGCCAUAGUAGUAGCGCGGGUUUUUAACCCUCGCUACUCCUAAGUUGAUAGCAAUAGCGUUGGUUUUUACCCCUCGCUACUACUAAGCUGUCUCUACCGUGCCCCUGGGCCAUGCCAUAGUAGUAGCGAGGGUUAUAAAACCGUGCUACUACUAAGUUUUUACCCCUCACUACUACUAAGAGGUCUCAACCGUGCCCCUCCGGGACAUGCCAUAGUAGUAGCGAGGGGUAAAAUCCCUCGCUACUACUAAAGGUGCCAUUUUGAAACUCUACCCCCCUGGAUCGCCUUUUGGGUUUUGUAAAAAGCAAAAGAAAAUGAUAAAAACUUCAAAAAUUAAAAUCCUUCUAGAUUUAGUUAUGUUACUACAUCUACUAGUUAGGAAAAUUUAAAAACUUAAAUUUGGACAUGUUUUGCAAAAAGUGUCGGGAAAAUGUAAAACGGCUAUAACUUUUGCAUACGAUGUUAGAAAAAAACGUAUAAUAUAUCAAAAUGUUUCAAAAAUUAAAAUCCUUUGAGAUGUAGUUAUGUUACUACAUCUACUAGUUAGGAAAAUUUAAAAACUUAAAUUUGGACAUGUUUUGCAAAAAGUGUAGGGGAAAUGUAAAACGGCUAUAACUUUUGCAUACAAUGUCAGAAAAAAACGUAUAAUAUAUCAAAAUGUUUAGCACGAAAAUCUGCAUACGAUGUAGACAGCUACGGCCUAUUUGCAAAUUUUUAGAAUCCUCAAAUUCUAAAAGGAAAAAAAAUUAUGCUCAAAUUUCAGUUUUUUUAAUUUUGGUCAAAUCUGGUCAAACUGUGGUCAAACUAAUUCAAGAAGUAUUAGUGUUACUAAAUAAUUAUUUCAGUUUUUGGAAUUUUGGUCAAAUCUGGUCAAACUGUGGUCAAACUUUGGUCAAAAUGUGGUCAAACUCCUUAUUCAAGAAAUAUUAGUGUUACUAAAUAAUUAUUGUUUUUUAGAACAAUUGUUUUAAACUCAAACAGCAAAAUGUGUGACUUCAUGCUCAAGCUAAACUCCCGAGGGUUAAUAGGAUUGACAUCUUACUAUUGUCAGGAAAGCAACAAGUGCAGACCUGGAAUCGAGGGAGAAUAGAACCCGGAAGUUAAGCGUGCUCAGGCUGGAGUGGUGAGAGGAUGGGUGACCGUCCGGGAAGUUAGAUGAUUUGGAAUGAUGAGGGGUGAUUAGAGAUAAAAUUGAGCAGCGAUGAGGGUGAUUAGAUAUUAGAGGUUAAAAUAAUUCAGAAAUUUGAAAAUUCGCGCAAAAAAUUCGAAAAAAAAUUCUGCGGGUUAGUAGUAGCAUGGGUUUUUAACCACACUACUACUAACGGACGUAGUAGUAGCGCGGGUGGCACCCGCGCUGCUGCUAUACGUUAGCUGUAGCGCCUUAUUAGUAGCGCCGGCCCACGCGCUGCUAAUAGGCCCAAAACCCGCGCUGCUGCUAGGCUCUUCCCUAGUAGUGAGGAGGGGAAUUGUUUUAUUUUGUUUUGCCCGGACGCACUUCCUUCCGUCCGAAGGUGUAGCUAGUGGGUCCCAGCAGUCAGGGGGGAAACGUUUUUUUCGUGAAAUACGGUGGCCCGUCUGGUGGUCCCCGCUGUUAGGUGGAGGAAUAAUUAUUUUGCACAUAAUAAGGAGGCACUUCCUUGCUGCGGCCGUGGACCCAGGUGUCAGCCACUCCACGUACAGUCCACGUCCGAUGGAAGUCGUUCCUUGACCACGUUGACCACGCUGCACCGAGAGCACCAGGGCAGUGGACGACGGCGAGGCCUAGGAAGGGGACGACGAGGAGCUAGGGAAGACGCGGCAGUGGAAGCCUGUGCGGAGAGGAGUACGAGGGUUCACUGGUUCGGCUACGGUGUGAGGCUGCCGUCACCGCAGGGCCUGGCCAGCGGUGGGAAUAGUAGGGGGCGGUGAGGCGUCCGCAGCAGCACAGCCGACCAUGGGAGGCAGGAGCAUGCGGCACGACCGGCGCAACUUUGGGCGGCUGGAGCAAGAAGACCAGAGGUUGAAGAAGCACUACGGCUGUUGGAUGGACAUCGUACAGUCACUGGAGCUAGAAUCGUUCAUAUUGAUUAAAGUUGACAAAGGCCCCCGUCCCAGUCAACUUAGUAGGCCCACAAGUCAGCCUCCCACCAUGGUGGGUCCCAGCUAGCAGGGGGGUAUUCAUUUUUUUGUGCGUAAUAAGGAGGCACUUCCGGUGGGUCCGAGCUGAUAGCGGGGGGGACGUUUUUUUCGCGAAAUACGCUGGCCCGUACGGUGGGUCUGAGCAGUCAGGGGGGAAACGUUUUUUCGCAAAAUAAGGUGGCCCGUCCGGUCAGUCCCUGUUGUAAGGUGGAGGAAUAAUUAUUUUGCGCGUAAUAAGAAGGCACUUCCUUGCGGCUGCAUGGACCCAGCUGUCAGCCUCUCCACGUACAGUACUCUUCCGAUGGAAGUCGGUCGUUAACCACGUUGACCACGCCGCGCCGAGAGCACUAGGGCGGUGGUCUGGACGAUGGCGAGGCCUAGGAAGGGGACGACGCGGAGCCGGGGAAGACGCAGCAGCGGAAGCCCGCGCGGAGAGGAGUACGAGGGUUCACUGGUUCGGCUGCGGUGUGAGGCUGCCGUCGCCGCAGAAUAACAGGGGGUGUGCGUGAGUGGAGGGAUGGCCUGGCCAGCGGUGGGGGUUGUAUGGGGGCGGUGAGGCCUCCGCGGCAGCACAGCCGGCCACGGGAGGCAGGAGCAGGUGGCACGACCGGCACUGCUUUAGGCGGCUGGACCAAGAAGACCAGAGGUUGAAGAAGCACUAAGGCCGUUGGAUGGACAUCGUACGGUCAUUGAAGCUAGAAACGUUUAUUAUUGACUAAGUUGACAAAGCCCUUGGUACGCUCCAACUUAGUAGGCCCACAGGUCAGCCUCCGAAACAGUGUGCCCCAGAUGUCAAGGAGAGGAAUCAUUUUUUGGGCGGCCGAAGCUAAGAAUAUCCGAGAUUGAAGAAGAAGCACGACAUCCGUUGGAUAGACAUCCAACGUCCACUGCUGCUAGAACCGUGUGUUGACUAUAAUAAGUUGGCAAAGCCUUGCAUACGCGUCAACUUAUUUUUUUAGGGGACACGUCACUUAGUAGGCCCACAAGUGUGUGGCAGAGAACUUAUAGCCCAUUUGCGUUUUUGUAAGAAUGUACAGCCCAUUUUGGAAUUCUAAUGGAAUUUACAACAGCCCAUUUACAGUUUGUUAAAAGUACAGCCCAUUUUCUAGCUAGGAAAAUGAUUAAUAAUUUCAACCAACCGUUGAAGACCGAAUUCAACAAAAUUUCCCACAUUUUGAUGGGCUCCAAAAUAUUUUUAUCCUGAAAUUUUUAGUCAGAUUAAAUAUAAAUUUGUAUUAGGUAAAAAUCCAAUGAAACAUUGCGCGCGCAACAAUGAAAAUUUAAGAUUUUCAAAAUCCAUAAAUAAUAUUUUAUAAACUAAUUUCGUGUUUGGUGCAUUUUUUAUAGUUACUGCCUAGUUUUUAUAAUUACAUCCCAUUUAUUAUUUUUUAAAGCCCAUUUUCCUGUUAAGCCUAAUGUAUCCCUCCUAGGAAAGAUUUGCAGCCCAGCGGGGUGGAGAAUAACAAGUUCACUUUGCCUCGGUAUUCCUCAAAAAGACGUAUAGCUGGGCUAGCCAUUUUCAUCUUGAAAAAAUUAGUAUCUGGGCUGGAUGUCUGGCCUGGGCUAGACGGGCCACAACCCGCCUAGUUAAUACCCUGCUCUCCUCUGAAAAACAACGAAAUCAUCGCCAAGAAAAACUCUGCAGUGCUCACGCUUCAAAAAGACAAAUACUGCUUGAGCUGCUUGGUCCCAGCUGUCGGCCGCACCUUGUGCAAUUCUCUCGUUUAUAUUGACUACAUAGGUUGACAAUGGUGUGGGACCGUGAUGUCAGGAAACCAGGAGAAAGCAAAAAACAUAUAGUUGUACAUAAUAAGGAGGCACUUGCGUACGUACGGCUAUGGCCCUAGUGGGUCCCUAGUGUCAUCCAGUCAAAAUAAAGUCAUCUCCUGAAUCCUCAUGUUCGUUGACGAUGUUAACAAUGCUCGGCGCCACGGCGAGCGCAACAACUCGAAGGACAACGGAGAGGGCCUCGCGGGCCCUACGGAUGGUCUGAUACAGCGCCCGCUACUCAUUCAGGAAGCCAGGAUCAUCGGACACCUAUGAGCACCUUCGAGAAACUGAGACGGCAUGAAACGGUAAGGCCGCGCUUGGGAGCUCUGGUUUAUUUCAAACCUGUAUUAACAUACAAGUGUAAUUUACUCAUCAUCGAAAACAACGCGUAAAAUAUAGGCGUAAUGAAACCGAGGGCCCGAGGUCCAUAAGUAAAACCGGCGGGUUACGCGUGUAAUUUGAGAGACCAGUGUAUUUUAUGAGCACUGCUAUAUGGACGACAUUACCAGACGAGUGUCACCUCCAGAAGGACCAACUCUACGACCUCGCCAACUCCAGCACGUACGCACCUAUCCCCUGCGGCUCCCCUGCCUGCACGGAGCUCGGUAGCAGCCACAGCAGUGGUUGCUCCGCCGGCUCCGACCAAUGCAAGUAUAUCCUCGACUACGGCGACGACAGGGUCACCGCCGGGACAUACAUCAGCGACACGCUGAACUUGUCGCCCACCAUCGCGGUCAAGGGCUUCCGGAUCGGGUGCAGCCACGCCGUGAGGGGCACCUUCAGUGACCAGACCGCCGGCGUCCUGGCCCUCGGCGGCGGCGCCGGGUCCCUCCUUGCACAGACCGCGGAGACCUUCGGCAACGCCUUCUCCUACUGUGUCCCGCACCCGAGCUCCGAUGGAUUCCUCUCGCUGGGCGGGCCGGUGGGGAAAUCGUCGCAGUUCGCGAGCACGCCUCUGAUCAAGAACCAACACGC
rnacentral:lncRNA from 1 species